GAACGAGAGCUACUUCACCUAAUCAAUCAAAAGCUCCUUCAACACCAUAUCAAGGUUUGUGAUGGACCUUUCUGGGCAGAUCAAGCAGGAGUCCUGGUUGCCUUCCCAGGCGUGGACCAUGUUCUGGUCUAAGCCCUCGCAACAAUGCGAGGUGUAUAGACUUUGUGGGCCUUUCAGUGUUUGCAGCGAGCAGAGCGAAGUUUUGUGUAGCUGCUUGCCGCGAUUUAGCAUAAGCUCUCCAAUGGAUUGGAAUCGGAGUGAUUGGUCCGGUGGUUGCAAGAGGAAUUCAAACUUAAAUUGUGCAGCGGAUGUGGAGAAAGACCGUUUCUGGCCUAUGUCUAACAUGAAAUUGCAUGAUGAUCCUCAAUCUUUAGUUGCAGGGAGCGAUCAGGAAUGCCGAACUGCUUGUUUGAGCAAUUGCUCUUGCACGGCUUAUGCUUUCAAGGAUAAUAACUGCUCAAUCUGGAUCGGGGAUCUCUUCAAUGUGGAAUGGCUCAAACAAGGCACUACCCCUGGAAGGAGUUUCUAUGUCCGGCUUGCUGCCUCCGAAAUUAAGGAUCCCAGCAAGAAGAGUAAUGUAAUUGCAACAGUGACAGGGUCUGUUGGUGCCGCGGUAGUGAUAUUAGCCAUUGUCUUGUUUGCCGUUUGGAGAUGGAGGAGAGGGGCAACCGUAACAACAAAAAUAGUGGAGGGUUCACUGAUAGCCUUUGCAUACCGGGACUUGCAAGUAGCAACAAAGAAUUUCUCAGAGAAGUUGGGUGGGGGUGGGUUCGGUUCAGUUUUCAAAGGAACAUUACCUGAUUCAAGUCACAUAGCGGUUAAGAAGCUUGAAAGCAUAAGCCAAGGUGAGAAGCAAUUCCGAAUGGAAGUAAGCACAAUCGGCACCAUCCAGCAUGUGAAUCUUGUCAGGCUUCGUGGAUUCUGCUCUGAAGGUGACAAGAGGCUGUUGGUCUACGAUUUCAUGCCAAAUGGUUCCUUAGACUAUCAUCUCUCUCAUAGAAAGGACUCGAAGACCUUGGAUUGGAAAAUGAGGUACCAAAUUGCUUUGGGAACGGCUCGAGGUCUGGCUUAUCUCCAUGAGAAGUGUAGAGACUGCAUCAUACAUUGCGACAUCAAGCCAGAGAACAUCCUUCUAGAUGCUGAAUUCUGUCCAAAAGUGGCAGAUUUUGGCCUGGCAAAGCUUGUUGGCCGAGAUUUCAGCAGGGUGUUGACGACCAUGAGAGGCACAAGAGGGUAUCUUGCGCCGGAGUGGAUCUCUGGAGUGGCCAUAACAGCAAAAGCUGAUGUUUAUAGCUAUGGAAUGAUGCUCUUUGAGUUUGUGUCAGGAAGGAGGAACUCAGAGCUUUCGGAAAAUGGGGCCAUUAAGUUCUUCCCAACAUGGGCUGCUAGUAAGAUAGCUGAAGGAGGUGACCUGCUUGAUCUUUUGGACCCAAACUUGGAGACAAACGCUCAUACUGAAGAGUUAACUAGAAUAUGCAGAGUUGCUUGCUGGUGUGUACAAGAUGAGGAAACUCACAGGCCAUCGAUGGGAAAGGUUGUUCAAAUACUCGAGGGGGUGUUGGAUGUGAACCUGCCCAGGAUACCGAGAACCCUUCAACUGCUUCUUGGUAAUCAGGAGCAUAUAGUUUUCUUCACUGAGUCAUCAUCAUCGAACCAGAAUUCCCAGACGAAGAGUAAUACCUCAACUGCUUCCUUGCAGAACCCAAAUAGUUCAUCUUCGACGAAGUCCGAGUCUUGAGGAUGAUAAGAUAAAUGCCUCUGUACAAGAAGUGCUUCAGUUAGAUAGAUUGUUCUCUUCCGCUUUUUCUGUAGUCGAGUAGGAAUCUCAGCAUUUGGGGAUUGGCUUUCUUGGGGCUUUUUCCCCUAGCUAUUUUUGUUAUAUGGAUAAAAGCAAAGCUUGGACAAGUGCCAGGCCAACCCAUUCGUAAAGACCUUUCAUUCUAUAUAAUGAUCUAGUCCGCUUUAUGAGAUCCAAUGUGACAUUAGUAAUUAUUAUCAAAAACUGUCAUCUCCACUUUCUUAUAAUUUAUGCACUGGAAUUGGGAUCUACGUCUUCAAACAUGGGUUUCCUCAAUGUGGGUGCAGAAAACCUUUUAUCUGCUUUUAACAGAUUUUAGUCAACACUCACCAGGUUUUUGAUCCACAACACUCAGAAAAUGGCUUCAUGCCAGUACUUGAGAGCGAUGCUGAACGGGCAUUGGGAAGGAGGCAUUCUUCCCUCGGAGGGCAAAAGAUGUUCCAUUUCCCUCAGAGGCUAAAAGAUGUUCCACCCAUGGCUUCUUAAUCUGAUCCAAAUGAAUCGAGAAGAAACAAAAUCGAAGUCUCAUCAAAAGGGUAUUGGGAAGGAGGCAUUAUACAAAAUCAUUGCAUUGGUUUGCUACUACAGUGACAUAAAUGUUGUGAAAAUUUUGAAUACAUGGGGUCUAAAUAGUUAGAUUCCUACGCCGCUUGGCAUUCGAAUUCUCUUUUUAUGUUUUUAUUUUUUGUGAUUAAAGGGAAAGUCAAUUGAAACUACUAAUCAGAGUUGGUUUGCAAUGCCUAUCCUAACCAACUUAAGGAAUUUGAAGGCCCAUAUUGCAGCAACCUGACAAUCUCCAUGAGCAUAUGGUUUUUGGUGUUAAAUGCAAAGCAAUGUCAUCGUAAAGUUGCAUAUUAACUUGCAAAUCUCACAUCAUAGGAUAUUAGAUCUUCUAGCUCAUAUCAGGUGAAAUAGCCGCAAGUUUGAAUACAGAACACAGGAUAUAUUGUAAAACUCAGCCACAUCUGUCAAUUUCAUGAAGUGAAUUCACCUCUUGAGCCCCUCCAUAGAUCAUAGUUCAGAUAGAAUAUGUUGAAUGAUUUCAUCUAGGUGUGUAUAUCAUAUAUAUUUGACCAAACGAAGCAUUAGAUAUUUACUCAUAUAAAUCAAAAUUUCAAAUCACAACUUGAAUAUUGCAAAUAAACUAAACAAAUUGAGCUCAUCCAUCAAUACCAGGAAUCUAUUAAAAUUAAGAUAUAUAGCUCUUUAUGCUUCGCAACAUUCAAAGCAGCUAUUGCUGUUGUCCACAAACGUGUCAUGUUCCCAUUAAACGUACAUUGCUUUUUCAUGUAAUAAAUGACUGAACCCAUGUGUUCGUGUUGAUUGUGCACGUUCAUGUGAGAACUGUAAUUAUACUUCAGAAAAAUUCUCUGUUUGAAGCACAUCAUACACAAGCAGAAUCAUCCUUUCGGUUUUCCGAACCGUUAGAGCGCCCCCAUGCAUCCAACAGAAUACAAACUCCGAAGUAAUUCCUUUCAAAAUAAGGAUCAGAUGAGCUCCAAUAGACAAAGUAAUAUGCAAAAUAUAAGACAAACAGAGUAUAUUUGCCUCUUCCAGCAGCAAAUAGAUGAAAUAUUAAAUGUUUGGUGACAGUCACUAUUUCUUUUUCUUUGCCAAAUUAGUACGAUACCGACAAUGAAACCCUACAGCGUAUAUACAUGGGCCAGCAUUAUAGGCCACCACCCUCAACACACAACAAGGGUAAACACAGGCCGAAAGCUGCUGCUGCUCGUGCUUGAAUCAGUCAGCACACCACACCAACAGUUAAGCCUCCUAAUAAUUGAUAUGUCACUGGGAACUUGAACGAUUCAUACCAAUAAUCCUUUUAUAGGACACUGCCCAUGCGCUUGAACUGGUUCCUUGUCCAUGAAAGUCAUGUUUCUGGAGAAAACCAUCCUUCUUUGUAAAUUUUCCCGUCACUGCCCUCAUUUGCAAUGCUGGCACAUCUGGCAAGUGGUUGCAGAUUUAACAUUAACAUACGUCGGUUCAGCUGGAACCAGCUCGAGUGCUGGUAGUUCCUUUUCCCCUUCCACCUCCUCUACUUGCCUUGCUGCUCCCUCCAUUCUUAGAGCUCGCUGCCCUGCUACAACCACCAUGGGAAUUCACAUCUGAUAGCCCAUUCUCCAAUGCUCUCACGAGGUUGUCAAAGUAGUUUCUGGUCACACUGUAGCAACAAAAACAGAUGUAAGAAAGUCAAAAUGCAUGUCUAUGUGCACACAUGGGUGCUACUUCUGGAAGUCACAACAGAGGCUAUUAAGAAAGUGUCUAUGUAAACUACAUUGCAGCUGAAGUAGAGAGGGCCACCGAUCUUUUAAUAAAAGGAGAGAUGUGUUUGUGAUGGAAAAACAGCUCCAAGAAUUAUUGUUUCCCACGGAUACUCUAUGAACUUAAAUAAAUAAACAAGUAACGGUCCAACAGCCUUAUAACAACCAACCAAUGCCAUAUGCACUGGAAAAUCAUAUUCUUGGUAAGUCCACUGUCCAGGUUUGACUUUCGAAUCAACAAUCUUUUUAGCAUAAAAAUCCAGUCAAAAGAACUAGUGAGAAUGCUUUUGGCUCGAAUCAGCUUUUAAGUUAACAAUAAACUGCAGAGUCAAUAUUAUUCCAUAAAGUAAACUUUGAAAGCUUGACAAUAAAGAGCAGGAUUAGAAAUAGGAAUGCUAUGCUCAGGAUGAGUCAUGAGCUUCACCAGAACUUUUUUACAUAAUAUAAGAAGCCAAAAAGAAGAUUCCGCAGGAAUAUUACAUACACUAAUUUAUCAGGAAGAAGCUGCUCAUUGGUACAUAUCAUGCUCUCUCCAGGAACAAUAAAGCACAUUUUUUUGCGAAAGGAAUGUAAUCACCAAUUCCAAUAUUAGUAUUUUCAUGUGCUAUUCAGAAUAAAAAUGGGCAGGCAUUCGCCUAUAUGACAGAAUGCCUAUCCCCCCUCCUUUACGAGACACUUUUUUUUUAAUCGUAGCCUAACUAUUUCCCAUUUCAUAGAUGGAUAUCUAGGGACUCAAGUCUAAAUAAAAUUGACUGUACACAAUUAUAAUUUGUACCAGACAUAUUUUACUCGACUAAUUAUGAAAAUUGAAUCUGACAAGAAGAUACCUGGUAAGUCCAGCUAACUUGGUGCGGAAGUCAUUAAAGUUACUAGAAGGAUUCUCAUCACUAAGGAACUGGUGAAGUUCCUUCUCUGCACACUAAUGAAGCCUUUCCAAUCCGAACUCUGCCUCACCUGGUAAAGAAACCAUUUCAUGUAAGUAAAUAGGAAAACAAGAAGGAUAUGCAUGGCCAUUGUCUAUCCACAAUCCUACUCUCCAAUACAAACCUUGCAAAUACUCAAAAAAUUGUUUCUUAGCAUGAUCAUAUUCUGGUAGAUAAUAACCAUAUGCAUAUGUCCACUUGAGCACUCGCCUACACUCAACUAUCUGCAAACAUCAAAGAAGCCUAAUUUAGUUUCACAGAAGCAAGUCAGGAUAAUAAAUCAAAAACACUCCAUCAGAUUUUAACCUAUAUAACAGCCGUAUUUACAUUCCAAACUGAAAAUCACAAAUUAUAUUUAAGUUGAAUUAAGUAAUAAAACCUGCUGCCAGGCCUCUAUGAUGAACUUCAACUGUGACUCCGGCUGGCAUUGUGUGUCACUAAGCUUAUUGAGCUGACAAGAAGAAAAGACAAAACCUUAUUUAAUCAAUAGCAAAGGUCAGGAAGCAUCAGCAGCACAACAUAAUUAAACCAGAUGAAUAGAAAAGCCAUGCGUCUUGCUUCCUAUCACAAGAAAACAAAGAUCAAUUUGUUAAUUUAACAUCAUAAGCAGUUUAUCACAACUCAACCUGCCCAGUUGCCACUUAGCAUCAACACAUUUACCCAGUAUAGAUUCUUCAGACACAACUGCAAUCCUUAGUGUACUCAAUACCCAUGACUGUCAGACUAAAAUGUUAGCCCAAGUACAGAGAGGCAAACACAUACAGAAACAAAGAUCUUCCUGGUCUUGUAGCACUCCUUAAUACAGUAAUGUGAACCUAAGAUCUAUUUCUGCAGAAGUUACAACCAGAAUACAUUUGUCACAAAGACUCUUAAGUAAUAUUAUUAAUUAAUAGAAAAUUUGGCUGUUAGUGAUGCAAAAUGCUGUGAAAUUAAAUAACUGAUAUGGAAUACUAUUGAUUUAGUAAGCGCUUCAUCCUCUUCCUCCAAUUUCCUUUCAUGUCACGGCAACAAUUGAAAAUGUUGCCACAAGAAAACAAAAACCAUAUACACACAGCAAUCGCAAAUCAAAGUAUGUUCUACUCCAGAGAGAACAAAAUACUGAUGAAGAAAACGUCAUAAAGAAAGUUUCCUCUUGAUGCUGCAUGUAAAAACUGAGAAAAGAAGGACAAGUUGGGCAUCGCUGAUUCAAUUCACCCUAAAAAUAGAUACAUAUUCACGUGACAGGAUAUGUGCUGACUGCUGAGUAGUUAUGAUGAAUUCGCUUGUAACUGCGGAAAAGCUUUCCUCGAGUCCUACAAGCGAAAUGUAAUCCUGUAUUCUGAUUGGUCUGCCUAUUAAAUACGCUAUAUCUAUAUUACAAGACCACACCCCAAAUUGAAAUUAUUACUGAUGAUGUACCAAUAAAACCUCCCUAUUUUCACGCUCUCUGGUACACCAAUCAACAUCUCUUCCCUCGUAUUCCUUCUAUCCUUCAAAUUCUCUCACAUACCAAACGAGUCAACACGUACCCUCCGCGAAAAGUCGCUCCUUUACAACAAAUCUCAAACAUCAAAGCAACAAGCUCUCCUUCAUUCUUCAGAUAGAUCCCAGGACUACCCCCAAACAGUAAGACAAAGAAGAUCAGAGCCCAGAAAUCCUCUCCAUUUCCACUACCCACUAGAACGACCAAAACAGAGGCAGCCGGAAAAAUCGCUCCUUUACAACAUAUCUCAAACUUCGAAACAACAAGCUCUCCUUCAUCCGACAGAUAGAUCCCAGGAAUACCCCUAUACAGCAAAACAAAAGAAGAGCAGAGCCCAGAAACCCUCUCCAUUUCCACUACCCGCUAGACCGACCAAAACAGAGGCGGCUGGGAAAAGCCCCACGAAUCAAAUCGACACGAGAGGGACCAACUCACCAGUUCCGACCAAGGACCUCGUCGGCCCUGUAGGAAGUGAAGCGGGGAUUGUCGUCGCAGAUCUAGGGCUUCUCGGGAGAGACGGCUUUGACCAUAGCGGAGAGAGCGCGGUCCUCGUCGGAGAAGGCCCAGCGUCAGGAGAGAGCGCGAUUCGGGAAGAAAGAGGUCAGGAGGAGGAGGCCGUCGAGUAGAGAGAGGGGCCGUAGUCGGCAGGGAGAGUCGCCGUCGUCGGAGAGCGAAGAGGCCGUGGAGUAGAGAGAGAGGCCGUCGUCAGGAGGGAGCGUCGCCGUCGUCGAAGAGAGCACGGCCGUCGUCGGGAGGGAGCGUCGCCGUCGUCGAAGAGAGCACGGCCGUCGUCGGAGAGCGAAGAGGCCGGCGAGUAGAGAGACAGGCCGUCGUCGGCAGGGAGCGUUGCCGUCGUCGGAGAGAGCGCGGCCGUCGUCGUCGGAGAGCGAGCGCUAUUUGGGAGAGAGUCGUCGGGUCAGGAAAGAAGGGAUAGAGUGAGAGAGAGGAGAGAGAGGAGAGAGGAGAGAGAGAGAGAAUGCCCGCGCGUUGGUUUGAAUUGGAACGACGUGGGAGAGAAGAGGAGGAGAGACAGCAAGGGCCCACACUUCCACGUGGCGUCGCGUGAGUGGUCCGGGACCACGCUGAUGCGGAGGUCCCGGACCACCCAAUAUUUUCUUGGCUCCCCCCUCUUUCCCUAUUUAUAGGAACACUCCACCGACUUAGCCCAUAUUCUAGGAGUUUCUUUUACAAUUUUUUUCUAGAAAAAUAGGCCUUUUUAAGGCAAAUAUCUCUGCCAUUUGCUAAGAUAAUUCCAUAGAUUCUUCUAUGAUUUUCUUGUAUUUUCUAGCUCAAAUAUUUCAAUAAGUUUCUAGAAAUUGGCUCAAUAAUUUAACAUUCCUCCUUGAUCCAAUUUCGUGUUACUCCAAGCAUUUCCCGCAAUGUCUCGAACUUGGUUAGCGGUAGUGCUUUAGUGAAGAUGUCCGCUACUUGUUCCUCGGUUUUGCAAUAUUUCAGCUCAAUCUCUUUGUUAUUUUGCGACUCUCGUAUGAAGUGAUAUUUGAUGUCGAUAUGUUCUUUCAUGGAAUACUGGAUUCUUUGAUAUUUGAUGUCGAUAUUUGAUUACCGACUUAUUGUCGCAAAGUAUCGGAGUUGAUUCCAUCUGUGUUUCUCCAAUGUCUUCUAUAAUUCUUCGAAGCCAUAUUGCUUGACUAGUAGUUGUAGUAGCUGCGAUGUAUUCAGCUUCUGCAGUAGACUGUGCCACCGAGUCUUGUUUUUUGGAUGCCCAUGAGAAUAUUCCAGAACCCAAAGUGAAUGCAUAGCCAGUUGUACUUUUCCUAUCAUUAGUUGAAUCAGCCCAGUCGCUAUCAGUGUAGUCAAUGAGCUUGGAGCUAGCACUUGGGCAAUACCGAAUGCUGUAAUCUAUAGUUCAUUGUAAAUAUCUAAGAAUUCUCUUGGCAGCUCCAAAGUGUAUUUGACUCGGACUUUACAUGAAUCGUGAUAGUAGACUUGUUACAUACAUAAUAUCCGGUCGUGUAGCAGUGAGAUAUAACAAACUGCCAAUCAGACUUUUGUAGAGAGAGGCAUCGACUUUUUCUACUCCAUCUUCCUUCAAUAGUUUCUCAUUUGUCAUGAGCGGAGUUGAAACUGCUUUGCAAUAGUUCAUCUUGAAUUUCUUCAGGAGGUUCAUGGUAUAUUUCUUUUGCGAGAUAAAAACUCCUUCAUUUUGGUUGAUCUCGAUGCCAAGGAAGUAAUGCAUCAAGCCCAAGUCUGUCAUCUCAAAUGUUUUCAUCAUUUCUUUUUUGAAUUCUUGGAUCAUUGUCUCAUGGUUUCCUAUAUAUAUAAGAUCAUCUACAUAUAGAGAGACAAUGAGAGUGUUAUACUUACCUUGGGUCUUGAUGUAGAGUGUCGGCUCACUCAUACUCCUCCUGAAUCCUUGCUUGAUGAGGUACUCAUCAAUUCUACUAUACCAUGCACGUGGUGCUUGUUUUAACCCAUACAAGGCUUUCUUGAGUUUGAGAACUUUUUCUUCUUGGCCUUUGAGGAUAAAGCCUUGUGGUUGUUCUAUGUAUAUUUCUUUUUCAAGAUAUCCAUUUAGGAAUGCUGACUUCACAUCUAGUUAAUGGAUCUUCCAUUCUUUUUGUGCUGCUAGGGUUAUGAGUGCUCAAAUAGUAUCAAGGCGAGCGACGGGAGCAAAAGUUUCAGUAUAGUCGAUACCUGGUUGUUGCAAUUAUCCUUUCACCACAAGCCUUGCUUUAUGCUUUUGGAUUGAUCCAUCUGCGUUGAGCUUCGUCUUGUAGACCCACUUGACGCCAAUGAUCUCUUUGUCUUCGGGUUGAUCGACAAGCUCUCAAGUUUCAUUUUUCUCAAUCAUCUUGAUCUCUUCCUCCAUGGCUUUUAUCCAGACUUCAUCUUUGGAUGCUUGUUCAUAGUUUUCUGGUUCCAAAAUAGCAAAGUUGCAUGUGUCGUAAAUUCUUCUAAGGGCUUUUACCCUUAGCACUAGAGACUCUGGAGUAGAUUCUUCUUGCGUUACUCUUGGAGAGCUUGGUGGAGUUAUGUCAUGAGUGGCGGAAUCCGGUACAUCUUCUUCUUGUGACGUUGACUCCUCUUGAGCAGGUGGUAUGUCUGGCAAGGUGAUGUACUUUUUCUCGAUCUUCUCGUCCUCCUAAUUCUAGGUAGCAUUCUCGUCGAACUCGACGUCUUUACUAAUCAUUAGCUUUUUAGUUCUUAGGUUGUAAAUCCGAUAGCCUUUUGAUUGGUCACCGUAGCCAAGGAAUAUUCCUUUUUAUGUCUUUUCAUCUAGCUUACUCCUUUUCUGAGCAAGGAUGUGGACGUAGCAAAUGCAUCCAAACACUUUGAGAUGCUUUGCUGAAGGCUUCCGUCCACUCCAUGCUUCGACUGGUGUUUUAUUUUGAACAGCUUUAGUUGGACACCUGUUUAACAGGUAUACUAUAGUAUAAACUGCUUCUGCCCAAAAAGUGUUGGGAAGGCCUUUCUCCUUUAGUAUAGACCUUGCCAUCUCCAUGACGGUUCUAUUUUUUCUUUCAGCUACUCCAUUUUGUUCUAGGGCGUAGCCAACCGUUAGUUGAUGAUGGACUCCUUCAUCUUCACAAAAUUUAUUAAACUCAUUUGAAUUGUAUUAUGUGCCUCUAUCACUCCUUAGGACUUUGAUUCUUUGGCCACUUUGAUUCUCGACGUGGUUCUUGAAUUUUUUGAAGAUAGAGAAAACCUCUGAUCUUUCUCGAAGAAAGUAUACCCAUGUCAUUCUUGUGUAAUCGUCAAUGAAUAGGAUGAAAUAUUUAUUUUGACUGGGUGUAGGUGUCCUCAUCGGACCGCACACGUCCAUGUGAACAAGUUCCAAUGGCUUCUUAGCUCUCCAUGCACCUCCAGAUGGGAAGGACUGUCUCUGUUGUUUUCCAAGAAGACAGCCUUCACAAACAUCUGAAAUUUCUGAAAUAGCUGGAAAGUCUCUCAUCAUAUUUUUUUGAUGGAGAGUUUUUAGCCCAGCAAAAUUGAAGUGGCCAAAUCUUCGAUGCCAUAGCCAUGAAUCAUCAAGUUGAGCUUUCAUGGCUAUAUCUUUGACAUAUUUCCAUCGAAUAGGAAAAUUAUUGUUUUCCAUCUUAACAGAGGUAAUGACAUUUUUAUAUUUAUCAUAGAUAAUGCAGGCAUAUCUAUUAAAAUAUAGAGAAUACCUACUUUGUAUCAUUUGGCCCACACUUAAGAGAUUUUGUGCAAGACGAGGGACUAGAUAUACAUUAUGUAUAUAUUUUGGGCCUUUAUUCGUUUCCACGGUGAUGGUGCCUUUUCCUUUGACAUCUACUAAUGCACCAUUGCCCAACUUUACUUGGGAUUUCACCGACUUAUCAAUAUCAGUGAAUAUAGAUUCGUCCCCCGUCAUAUGAUUGCUACACCUACUAUCAAUGUACCAUGUUUCACUUUUAUUAUUAUUUGCCGCUUGGCCUGCGUAGAAUGUAUUCUCUUCACUUUCUUUUUUUACUACAUAGUUUGCUCGAUUAUUUGUUUUCGAGCGACAAUCUUUUUCUACGUGGCCAUAUCUUUUACAAAAGCGGCAUUGUUUUUUAUUUUUAAACCAAAAAUCAUUCUCCAAAUGAUUUGUUUUCUUGCAAAUACCACAAGCUGGAUAAUUUUCCUUUUUUUUAUAAUUUCUCAUUCUCUUUUGUUUUUCCAUGAGCUCCUUCCACCAUUUUUAGUUUGAUGAGACCGUAUAUUUACUUUAGACUGAAAGGCGUUUUCAACUGAAUCUUCAUCUUGUGCCAUUAGUCUUUUCUCAUGUGCUUCUAGAGAGCCAAUUAAUUCACUCACUAAUAGGGUCGUCAAGUCUUUAGUUCCUUCUAUAGUUGUAACUAUGGAGUUGUAUUUUUUGGUAAGUGACACCAAUAUUUUCUCAACAACCUUUGAUCAGUUAUUCCAUCUCCAUAGGCUCUCAUUUGAUUAAUGAGUUCCUUUAAUUUCCACAAUAUUCUUGUACGGUCUCAUAAUUUUUCAUUUUAGAAUUCUCAAAAUCUCUUCUCAGAGUUUGAAGGCGAAUAGUGCGUACCUUUUCCGAUCCUUGAAAUUAUUCUCGUAGUAUAUCCCAAGCCCCUUUUGCAGUCCUUACUCCAAUUAUUCUCGGAAAUAUGGUUUUCGAGAGUGCUUGCUGGAUAAAGUAUAGCGCUCUUGCAUCAAGUUGAUCCUUCGAAACACUUGCACCUUCUGGCGGAGCCUCGCAACCUUUUUCCACGAUGUCCCAUAAGUCUUGGGCCAUCAAGAAUGUAGUCAUUUUUUUGCUCCAAAAGUCAUAGUUGUUCCCAUCAAAAAUGAGAAUGGGAAAUGAUGAUGAGGUAGAGUUGGCCAUGGUUUAGUUAGUGGGUAUUUGGAAAGGGUAGUUUUAGGAAUGGGUAGGUAGGACAAAUGCCCAAUACCAACCAAAGACGUGGCUCUGAUACCACUGUUGGUAUUUGCAGAGGCGUGUGUUUGAUGUGUGUGCAAGUGUGUUUUGUGUGAGAACUUUCAAGAGGGCUAAGGAAAGAACAAUGUGGGUAAGAAAAUAAUUUGCAGCAAGGGAGCACAAGGGAACAAAAUAAAACCUUUUAUUUAUUUAUUUGUAGUACAAAGUACAAAGGAAGGGGAGGAGCUUACCUUUUUGCUCCGCCUUUUUUCUACGCUCCCCCCUCCUUCCCUAUUUAUAGGAACGCUCCACCAACUUAGCCCAUCUUCUAGGAGUUUCUUUUACAAUUUUUUUUUCUAGAAAAAUAGGCUUUUUUAAGGCAAAUAUCUCUGCCAUUUGCAGAGAUAAUUCCAUAGAUUCUUCUAGGAUUUUCUUGUAUUUUCUAGCUCAAAUCUUUCAAGAAGUUUCUAGAAAUUGGCUCAAUAAUUUAGCAGAAAUGUUCUGAUGUCUGGUCCUUGUUCAGACGAGUAUCAUUUUGACCGUGUUAUUCUCCAUAAAAUGGAAUCACUUAGUUUGAUUUUGACGAGUGCAUCACAGGCUAACUGAACGCAGCAUUCUUGUUCGUGGUUUGCUUCAUGUAGGCUCUCCCAUUCCCAGUUGAUGUGCCAUGAUUUCCCCAACUUAAUCCUAGCUUACUCUCACAUUCUUCUUCCACAGUAUUACUUCACGCUAUGGUUAAUGACAUUGUCUCACUUUUCUUAAUUACAGUAAUUUUCAUCAGCCAGAUGUUGGCAUCUCCCGCCAAUGUUUAGUUCAGAGAACUUUCAUCUUGGAUUUCAGCUGGUGUCUCACAUUGUUCUCAAAUCUGCCCCCACUGCAUACAAAGCAGGCUAUAAGGCUUGGCAUUUCUCAGUAUCAAUUCCACUUACUACUUGCUUUGUUUAUAAUGAUUCAUGGAACCAAAACCGCCCUUAUAACUACGACUUGCUGGGACCAGGAAGUAUAUCAUGACAAUUACCAGGUGAUCUAUGCUGUAGGAUGUUGAUGCCCGCGCCCUUCAUGUCAGGGCAUUUACAUCUCUUCUAAAGUUGAAUUUUUGUGGAUUGCUUACUCGCUCUAUGUUUUGAGUGAGUAAUGCGAGAGAUUACUUGACCAUUUUGCAAAACUGACGUGUAAAGUGAUGAAUUGAGACUUCCAUUGGGGUCGAUGUCACCGUUGGUCUCUCUAUUUUUACUUGGAAAUCAAGUUAUCAACAUGCUACUGUCUCGCAUGGUUCUCGGAUCUGCCGCUUCUCCUAGCCAUUGCAGUGCCACAAUCUCACUAACUUUUCCAAGUUUUCCAUCAUCAGUUUUUUCUUUACACUAUGACUACAUUUUUUCUCCUUUUUCCUAUCAAUGCAGUAUGAUAAAUUCAGAUCUAAUAUCAUUUCACUUCUCUUUCUGUAAUUGUUUUCUCAGUACCAUCUGAUUGUUGAUCCUUCCCUGGUGCCAGAGGUGCUGUUAUAAAGUCUAACCUGCUUCUAUCAAUAUUAUGUCGUGCUACAGCAAAGUCAGCACCCUCUCUUAGAUGAAGCAACCUUGACUAGAUCUGGAUUUGCUAUAAUCAUUUAAAACUUCAAGCAUUUCACCUGGACUAGGUAAAAUAUGGAAUAAACAGAAAAUUGAACUGCUCCAAACAAAAGAUAAAAAGAAAGUUGCAUGUGUAAGUGAAUUGAUAAAAAAGAAACAGGUUAUGAUGGACGCAACCUCAAAUACCAAUCACCCCAAGUCCAUGCGAGGGACUCUUCAAAACUUCAUCUGUCCAUGUCCACACAGUCUAGAUGAUUUUCUUGUAGAAAUUACAUAGAAACUAACCAUGGAUAUUACAAAUAGAUGAAGUGGAGGAAUAGCAAAUUGCAGUAAUCUAGAGCCUAGACCCUUGGGAUUAUUAUCGGAUGAGCUCGCUGCAUUGAAUGCUCAUUCAAAGUACAGAACAGAAACCGAAGAUCAGAGAAAAUAAUAUGCACAAGAUGUUGAAGAUUGUUCUCUAUCAAUUGUUUCACAAUGAUCUCCGUGAGGGACAACAAACUUUUUAAAAGCUUGUAAGCAUUUGUCAUAUCUCAUGAGCCUAACCUAAUGACUUCAACAAGAUACUCUCCUUCCAUGGGUUCUGAAGAUCAGAGCAAAGAAUAUGCACAUGAAAAAUCGAUGUUUUGAUCCAUUCUCUAUCAAUUGUUUUGUGAUGAUUUCUGUGAGGGAAAACUGCAUUUGGAAAAUAAAAACAGUGUCACUGUGAUUCGCAGGGAUUUGCAUUCCAGUAGCUUGUGAAGGUAGUUUUUCCAUCAGAUUUGUGAGAGUAGUUGAACUUAGGUAUGAAAGGAGACUAUAUCUGUAGAGGAAAGCAAAGGGCAUCAGAGUAACGCAUAGAGCUGUAACAAAGGAAGUUGGACCGGGCAUCAUGAAUAUCAAAUCGUGUUGGUCCUGCUUCUGGAUGUGCGGUUAGCGUCGACACUCGGUUGUCUUCUUUUACUGUUGACGAGAUCUGGUAAAACUAUCUUUCUUGAUUUGCUAAUUACCGGUCUGCCUAUGGUUUAGUUGCGCCUGAUCAUUCUAACGGAUGAUGUUGUGUUCAAGCGAUGGAUUUCAUUGCAAAGUUCUCUUCUCGGUUGUGACCGAAAGUCAUCUUCAAGCCUCACCACUAAGGUCAUCUUCACACUUGGAUAUGCCCCUUUUUGUACGUUGGUUCUGGCAUCCAUCACGCAGCAUGCAAAGACAAAAUGUCUUUGCUAGCAUAACAGUCGAGCUACCGUAAAAAUAAUAGUUUGUUGCGAGCCACAAAUUAUUGAUGAAGUGGACCCUGCAAAUAUUUAUGAUUUUUUGUUAUUUGAUUUUUUGUGGUCUAUAAUAAUGUGUUGUUUUUACGGUAUGGCUUUUGUCAUACACAUUCAAUGCAUAGAUGAUAUAAUGUGGCAAAAGAAAAAAAAAUCUCCAUAGGAUAAAAUAUAUGAACGAAAUUUGCACAUACUAUUAGUCAACAUAGUAUAUAUUCUCAUCAUUUAUGAAUGAAUAUUACUAGAGAGGUUACAAGAUAGGAACAUUAACUAAAAUUUGUUCUCAAAGAAGCAAUAAAACCUAGGAUAGGUAUUUUCUUUCUUUGUAUAUCGAUUAUGUGCUUUGUUCAGACCACUUUUGGAACACCACAAUUGAUUCACCUCUCCGAUAGAUUUUAAGGGAACCUUCCUUAUUAGGAAAAGUACCAAAAAAGUCAUAAACAUAUUACAUUGGUACUAAUUCAGUUCUAAACCUUUCUAUUGGAGCAAUUUAAUCCUAGAACUUUUCACAUUGAUAUCAAUUCAAUUCAUUCGGCCAAUUUUGGCCGAUCGGCACUGACGUGGACACCAGCUGGUGGCCAAACACUAACAUGGUAAUUUUUAAAGUUUAGAAUUAAAUUGAUCUAAUUGAAAAUGUUAUGACUGAAUUUGUAUCAAUGUAAUAGAUUUAUGACUUUUUUGGUACUUUUCCCUUUUUAUUUCAAUCUAAUUCGUUCAGGAUUUUAAUGUGAAGUGCUCUGAAAAAUAGUCGAAUCGGAGUCCCACACCACAGGGAAUUGAGCAAACUUAUUUGUCAUCUAAACCAACAUCUUUUUUUUUUUUUUAUUAUUUUUUUUUGGUGCUGGAGGAACCGGCUUGCAGCCGACAGUCGCGCCGUAAACCCCCAGGUGACACUUAAGCAGGAGGACCCACCACCCUUGAGUCACACUUGAUACACCUAGUGCCUCCCCUGGGUUUUGAACCUUUCACCUCUGGGUUGAGGAUCAACAAGGCCUUAUUCAGCGGAGCCACCGCGGCCGGUGGUAAACCAACAUCUUAUUGGUUGCUAUUUGUAUUUAAAAAAUGCUUGACUCACUAAGAUUGAUUUAUACUAUCGGUUUAUUAAGUGAUGUGCUAAACCGUCAUUAAUUCUUAAACACGACCCACUUUUUUUAAAAAGCUUAUCCACAAUCUCACCCAUUAUUUAGUUUUUUUAAUUCGCUAUUAAAAAGUCCAGCACUGUUAUUUGUAUUUCAAAAGCCUAUCCAAUUUGCGAAGGAAUUCCAUUUCAGAUCUAAACACUCAUGCCAAUCUCACGACAUUCUUAGUACCCCUAACAUUUCCCCUUUUCUAUUGAUACCAACCUGACUUCGAAUUCAAAAUGAAUAUAUAUACAAACCAUAAUUUGCCAGAACGAAAUUCUCGUCGCCAAAAGUCUACUAACUAGCUAGACGCUAAGCUCGAUCUAUCACGCGAGACAGCAUUUUCACGUAAAAGAUUUAAUGCAAGAGCGGCCCUCUCUUCAUUUUUUGGGACGGUUCCUUUCACGCAUCCUCCCUAGCACAUCCAUAAUUAACUGCGCUACAGUCUUUCUUCACUUCUUCUCAUCUGUCUCUGCCUGCGAAACCUUCACUUUCUCCUGUCUUCCUGUCCUCACAUCAUCAUCAUUGUCAGUGACGCUCCAGCAAAGCCGGCGAGUCACCACAAGAAGCCACAUCAAUGCAAAGACCAUUGCAUAAGCUCUGCCACACAACACUGUCCCCAUCAGACUAAUGAACAGCAGAUAUGCCAUAUCAAGUUUGGCUCGUUUCGUUCGUGACUGAUCUUGAUGAUCUGGGCUUUGCUCUUGCUUCAUUGAUGAGCCAUUGUACAAGAAUCCACCGUGAGACCACUGUUUGGACACACAGUCCACGUACUCUAAUGCCGAACUUGAAACUGAAGAAAGAGAGGUAGAAGAAAAAUGAUUUGCCUGAUCAUCGAUAAGCUUCUGAUCGUUGUUAUCACAUAACGACCCCCUUGGUUCGGCAUCCAUUGAAGGACAGUGUUUCGUCAACAAUGAGUUUCGAAAUGAACUACUUCUUUUCCGGCGGAUAGUCCGAGCCUGCGGAAAAAAAAUGGAGAAAAAUGAGUACAUAUGGAAACCACUAAAAUGUUCUCACAUAGUUCUCAGACCUAAAGUGACAUUUUCACGAUAGUUUCUUCCGCAACAUAAUAUGUAAUCCUCGUUGGACAUUUCUUUAAUGGCACAAACUAGAAAAACGAAAAAAGUGGGAUAACAAACCAAAGCGGUGUAGAAGAGAGCGGACUUCAACAUGCGCGAAAAGCUAUGCUUUCUCGAUCGAGCAUACGGUGGUUUCACGCUUGCUCUCUCAUUGUCGUCCUCAUCGAUCAAAAGAUGCAUGAGCUGGCUCCGCCUACGCCUGGGCUCGAGCAUCAUGUCCUCGAUGACGGGUCGUCUAAAGCAAUGCAAGAACUUGAUCCUCGACACAUUCUUCAUGGUCUCUCUCUGACGUUUCAUGCGUUGCAGAUCGCAACCCUUGUUUCGGACUCAAUGGAGAAAAGAAACGAGGCAGGAAAAGAUGGGGAGGCCACACGUUAUUUUUGAAUGGCUUCGAGUCGAAAGGCCAUAGAUUUAGCGUAGUUUUGGAUCACUUGUUUUCUUUUCCUCUGGUGCAAGUGUAAGUACAUGAAGACAUCUCUCUAUAUAUAAAUAUUUAUAUUUCCAGAGUGAGAAUUACUAUCGGGUGGUUAAGGAUUUAAAUGCUUGAAUGAGAAGGUCAGAGAAAAGGGCAAAAGGGGAUAAUGGCUUACUGACGCCGAUGGACAGACAGGUAGGAGGAGAGGGUAUGACUACGCACGUCUUGGCUUAUGGUUUUAGUGAAGAGAAAUGACUUUAAAUUUGAAUGGUCCUCGUUAUGAUCGUCAAGACAUCUCUAGAUAAUCAAUCUCUGAGUGGGGUUAACCGUGAUAGUUGUCCUCCAAGAAAUUCUAAACUUAUUCCUUUUAUUUAGGAGUAUUCAAAAAAAUCGAGAAUCGCCCAAAAUCGGACCAAACCCACCUAGAACCAACGGUUCUCAUGAGAACAAUCCGGUUCCAAGGAUAGAAUCAUCCACCUGAACUGGACCAAUAUAUAUAUACUGGUCAAGUUUUCUAUCAAUUCUAAAGUCCCUAGCAAUGGACUUGUUUCUUUGAUAUCUUAAUGAGGACAUUGAUGCUCUCUUCUUGUUGUCCAAAUUGAGACUCAUCUCAACUAUUGUCAUCGUCCUCCCUUCUAUAUCUUUUCCUUCAUUAGGAUCACAUGCUAGUUUGGUGUCCAUACAACACACAUUAGAAACAUUUUGGCUUUAUUCCUUCCUCUAGAAAACCGGUUCCAAGGAUCCACCCGAGAACUAGAUUGGUAACCAACGAAUGGUUCUUGGUUCUAGGGGGGAAUAGUCCACUGCCCAUCUUGGAACCAAUCACCCUUGCAUUCAAUUUGAGAAAUGUAUUGCUUCUUCAAAAUCCCAGGGGUGCCUUGCAAAUGCUUGUGCUAAUAAGCAUUUUGCUUGCAUGCAUGCUACAAGCCAAAAGUUCCGCCUGCUUACACGAUCGCAAGAAAUCGAAUCAUGCUGUUUUAGUGGGUGAAUAAAUGCAGUGGUGGUCUGUGGUCAUUCGAGCAGAGAAACAGUGGAUGGGAAAUCUAACGAUUUUGCAUAUGUAACAUCUGCCUUUCCUAUCUACACGUCGAACAACCCUCUUGUGUCCGAAAUUUAUGCAUCACCCUUUGAGCAUUAUCAUUAGAGUCUUCUAAACAAAUAAGUCGGCUAAGCCUAUUAAAUGAGUGGGCAGAAUUGAGUCGAAAAAAAUGUCUGAUCCACUUAACCCGCAUUAACCCAUUUUUAUGCUAUACAAUUUUAGAGUUCCAUACCUGACCUGAUUAACACCUAACAUAUAACCGAUACAAUCCAUAUUACUAAAAAAAUCCAUAUCUAACCCAAUUUAUGCAAACUCGUACCCGUUCGCUCAAACAACUUUAAGCCUUUCAUAUGAAUCUAUCAUUUAGAUAAAAUUUUAUAUCAAUUUAAAAAAUAAUAAACCAAAUAAAAAGUCGCCACUCGUUGUCGCUUGCCUAACCAACUCAGUUAACGUUGUCUCUCCUCCGUCCAAGCCCCACACCGCUGCUGUGGAGACCCCAAACAUAGUUGCCUCUCUCUCUCGUGCGCGCGAUAUCGAAUAAGAGGUCGUGAACCUAUGUCUAACUUCACUGAUCAUUGUGGUUGUGGCAUCGCCAUGACCCAAGCCCAUCUAUAUAAUUUCUAUUUUGAAUGCAAUAACAAAGUAACCAAUGACAUUACUUGGUCAUCAUCAUAGCCAUUGUCAGCACAAUCACAUUAAUGUUGUUGGAAACUUUUGUAAAUUAAAAUUUUGAAUCUUAAGGUAAACAUUAAAUUAAGAAAAGAUCUAAAUUGUUUCCACCAAACGAUCUCCAAAGUUUGAUAAAAAUAAAAAUAAAGUAAAUUAUAUUAAAGUUGCGCUCCAACUUCUCUUUAGAUGUGCAACAAUCAAUGUAAAUCACUGCAGAUAUGUACCGUGGGCCACAAGGGAGUACAAUGUGCUUGUUGUUCAUAUUUAUUCGCUUCAGUUUUUGAACAAAAGCGAUCCAACCGAAUAUAUUAAUAAAUUUGGACUUGCACUCUAUUCUCGGCCUGGUCUUUGGGCUUUUUUAUGCAAAGAAUGAAGAUGCAUUAUAUUCAGUGAAAUAUUGUUUGAUGCAGUGUAUAUUUUAUUCCGACCUGGAAAAAUGAUAAUAAUCCCCUGUAAAAUUUCAUUAUUUCUAUUUAAACUCGGCCCAUACACUAGACAUUAAUACAAACCAAAUAUCCUCCCAAGCGCACAUUCCUCCUAUCAAUUUUAUGAAAAACUUACAAUAUUUCCCAUCGUAGUUCAUCUCUCCAAGAGCUGUGCGUUUUGCAGAUUUUCCUUUCCAGUUUUCCUUUGAGUUAAGUCCCCAAGCCUGUUUUAGUCUUGGAAGUCCAAGCGAGUUGAAAUAUGGAUCGUUUAAGCGACCCAUCAUCUAUGUAGCACGGACACUCUCCAGAAGCCUUUAUGUCGUGUCCGACAUGCUCCGACACGCGGUCAACGAGUAUUGAAAAAUCCGACACGUGGUCAACUCUCUCCGACACGCUCCGACACGUGAGUCCAGAAUUUUGACAUGCGAUUCCGAUACGCACAGGGUCAAUUUCUAAUACUUGAGGGGUCAAAAUAUAAAUAUACACAAAAAAAGUAAUAAAAAAAGUAAUAAAAUUGCUAUAAAUAUACACGCACGGGGUCAGUUUUUUUUUUUCAGUUUUGUUUUUUUAGAAUUGUUUUAUUUUUUUUAAAAGUCUUUUACUAUGAAAGAAGUAAUAAAAAAUGCUAUAUAUGAUAAAUUAAUAAAUUUAAAAAUAUCAUUUCAGCAUUUUUCUUUAAACAAUGUUUUUUUCCUCUAAGUUUUGUGUAUUAUUGUAACAAAUUAAAAUAAUGAAGAUAUUAUUUAAUAUUUUUCGUGUAAAUUAAUUAUAUGCUAUUAUUUAUUUAUGUAUUUAUAUAUAAAAAUAUAUUUAAUAUAUAACGUGUCGGAACGUGUCUAAAUUCUCUAUUUUUAAGAAAUGACGUGUCGGCGUGUCGUGUCGUGUUGUGUCGUGUGUCGUGUGUUCGUGUCGGUGCUACAUAACCCAUCAUGACCCAUUUUACUGAAUCUUAACCCAUUUUGCCCCGACUUUGUUGCCAAACAACUUACCCAUUCUACAAGGGGCCAUUAAAUAUGGGUUGCAAAAUCAGUUUGUGAUUCAUUUUACCAGCUUUAGUGACCACACGGAUAAUUCUGAUCUAUGACCAAAGAUUUCGAUUUAUGGGUUUAUCAAUAUAGUUUCCUUUAAGACGCAAAAUAAAGCAAUUUAACACGUAGUCACUUUUACCGUUUCCUAACUAGUAAGCUAAAGACCCUUUUUCUGAUUUUAUUUGUAUCACCUUUUCUAAUGUAUAAAAUAAGUGACAGAAUCAUGUAAUCUCGUCCCGAAGCCAAUGUUUUGCUAUAUCAGGCUCAAUGUUAUAUGAUCUGACAGUGCCUAUAUCAUUGGGCUUCGCUUGGAUUCUGAUUAAUUUAAUACAUUGGCCCGUAGUCCUAAAUGGAUCCUACCAUCAUCAAAGGACGGAACAAUAAAUGUUUAUUCCCAUGGAUUAAUGAGAUUUAAACAACGAUUUUUGGAACGGGCCAGCAACGACAGCCAUAUUUCUUUAUGACCGAUAUCUAUUGUUUUCACAAAAAAAAAAAAAAAUACAAAUUGAAACCUUUCAAAAUAUCCAAACAUUGAAAAUUUAGAAUCAUAUGGAAUCUUUUCAAAAUAUUUUCGCAUUUAAAGUAAUUUGUUUUCAGUUUGAAAAUAUAGAAGUAGGGUCACGAAGACAAGUUAGAAGUAGGUGAAUAACACCACCAAAUAGCCCCUGCCUUCAUGAUACAAAACUUAAAUAUUGCUAGACUUUCAUCAAAGGUCAUUGCAAUUUCCAUCUUGAUAUACCAGAUUGGAAAUGAAAUCGAAGCCGAGCUGCAAUUCUAGUGGUCCACUUGAAAGUGAGGAUAUAUGAUGUCAAGGAUGAUGUGAAGUACUUUCUCCAAGAUAAAAAUACCUUAAAUGAAAAAAAAAAGAAAUUCAGACGCAAGGGUUAGGACAAAAACAGAAAAUAGGAACUUGCAAAGAUAUCAGGUUAACCUGUCUGGUCUUCAAUUUCCAUUCGGAAAGAACAAAAAGGAAAGAGAUUUUCCACAAAUAUAGGGUCAAAUUAACCUAAAUCUAUCAUUAGCACCAACCAAAAUUGAUAGUCAAGUGUAGCGAUGAAGCCGCCAUAGUAAUGUUCCAAGCACCAAGAGGACUACAUUGACACUAGUCCUGCAGAGAAAGUUACAUAUGUACGGAAAUUGAUAAAACCGUCAAAGCCUAUAAUGGACGCUACGCCAAGUACCAAUAGCUCCAAAUCCGGGAGGAGGUCUCUUCACGCCAUCACCCGUAGCCAAGGGCCUAGGACCCACCGACAUAGUCGAUAAGGCUUUUUUUGAUAAAGACAUACAACCAAUGUGAUUCGUAUAUAUAGGGAAUAAAUCAACGCGGUAAUCUAGAGUUUAGUCCCUUGACUAACAAGUCGGUUCAGCAUCUGUGUGGAAUGAGGGCAUUUUGUUGAAGAUACUAACCUCAAGAUUAGCUUAGACAAGAGUAGGAAUAUCAAGAAAAUUGGACCAAGCAUCGUGAAAAUAAAAUCUUGUUGGUUCAGCUUUCCAAUGUAUGAAUGACUUUGACACUUGGUUUCUUCCUUUGUUGUUGAAUAGAGCAGUUAAAACUGUGUUCUUGCUUUACCAAUGUCCAGUCCGCCUAUGUUUCAAGUCUAGCUUGAUCACUCAACAUACGAUCUUGAGUUGGAGUGCUCACUGCUCAGAUUCAUUGCAUGUUAUUUAGUUGGACUAGUAGCGUCUUCUUCACUCUAGGGUAUGCCCGUACUCGUCCAUUGGUCUUGGCAUUCGAACUUAAAUAAGACCUAUUGUAUGAUGCCGGCCUAAAUGCUUCUAUCUGCGUAUUCCAUGAAAAUGCCCUGGUCUCAGUAAGUUUCCACAUAUUACUCUGCGCGUUUUUUGACGACUUCUUUGAGAUCUCUUACCUCACCCUCACUCCAAGCACACCCAUAUAUAUACUUCCCCUGUGAAUUAUGUUUCUAAACCUGUCCGCUCGAACCUUGUUUGGUACAGCCAUGGAUAGCAACAACGGUAGUCCAUGAUCGUUCACACGCCCAAUUUUCUUGCUUUGCUUAUCUCUCUGCACCACCCACCUCUGUCUUGGCUCCAACACCAUCUCCACCAACCAGUCCCUCUCCGGCAACCAAACCUUAAUCUCCUCUGGCGGCAACUUCAAGCUCGGCUUCUUCACACCAGGUAACUCCUCGUACUCCUACAUAGGCAUCUGGUACAACAGAAUCAGCGUGCAAACGGUUGUCUGGGUCUCCAACAGAGACAACCCCGACAGGUACUCCACUGGACUUAAGAUCUCGGGUGGCAAUCUUGUAUUGGUCAACGACUCUGAAGUCCUCGUUUGGUCCACAAAUCUGACUCCUUCAUCUGGGUCGAGCUCCAUGGUGGCAGUUCUUGGGGAUGAUGGCAACUUCGCUCUCAAAGACGGGCUGAAUUCUUCCGUGACUCUGUGGCGAGCUUCGAUCACCUGACGCGCACGUGGCUUCGGGGUGCGAAAAUGGGAAUCGACAAGCGCACGAGCACGAGUCAGCUAUUGACAUCAUAGAAGAACGCCGAGGAUCCUUUGACAGGUUUGUUCUCUUUCCAGCUCGAGCCAUCUAGUGAGUACUACAUAUGGUGGAAUAGGAAUGAGCAUUACUGGACCACUGGGGUGUGUGACGAAAAUUUUCUCUUUGGUCCCUGAAAUGAGAUUGAACUAUAUUUACGAUUUCAAAGUUGUGGACAACGAGAACGAGAGCUACUUCACCUAAGUGUACACCAAUGCCAACACCAUAUCAAGGUUUGUGAGGGAUCUUUCUGGGCAGAACAAGAUGGUGUCCUGGUUGCCUUCUUCACUAGCGUGGAACUUGUUCUGGUCUCUGAGAUAGCUAGUAUAAUCACCUAGAGGGGGGUGAAUAGGUGCACAAACAAAUUUUCGAGAUACGAAAGCGAUUUUAGGCAAUCGAUAGAAAAGAAAAUACGAUCAAAGUAAAGUAAAGGUUAGGGAAGAGAGAAAUGAACACAAGAUUUAUAGUGGUUCGGCUUAUUCCAAGCCUACGUCCACUCUUCCGCACUGACAGCCCACCGGCUAGAUUUCACUAUGAACAAAAGAGAAGUUACAGCACCGCUUUUCCUUGAUUCCACAGUGUAGAUGUUUUACCACACUUCCUCAAGGUUUCUCACGAAUAUAGACUCUCUUUUGUUUACACGAUUUUGCUCAACAAAUGAAUUGACUAGGAACAAGAAGCUUCAGACUUUGGAAUUCUUCUAUCGUGCACACUUUCGAACAACUAGAACGUCUUCCUUAUAUACUCCUUCAUGCCAUCAUACCCGUUGGCACUUACCAAAGGAAUUCCUCCAAUCUACCCAUUGGACGGAAUCAAUUAGGAAGAUCAUUCGAGCUAUUAAAGGAACACGUCGAUAGCCCAUCAAUCAUGUUCGCCCAUACAAUCAGGAUCUCGGUUUCCAUAAGUAGAACAUUCCAAGUAUACUUCGUCAAUCAUCGGAUCCUUAAUUUUCGAAUCAAUUAUGAUCAAAUAAAGAAUUCCGUUAUGUUAUAUCCAGCCAAGAGAUCUUUUCCAGUCGAUAAGGCCUCAUCCUUAAUGAAACAUCCAGUUCUGGAUAGCCUUUCUACAACGGAUUAGAAACUGUCAAUGAGGAUAGACUUUGAGUCUUGAGUCUGGCUGUCCGGAGGUCUUCAGACUUUAAAUAGCAGAGUCUGCAAGCCUUCAGACUAGACUGAUGGAAACGUUUUGUCAACUUCAAAACACUUCAAGAGGAAUUUCUCCAACAAUCUCCCCCUUUUUGAUGGUGACAAAACUUUCCUGCAGAUUUGGAAAACUUUGACCUGCAAAACAUUUCUUAAACACAUAUGCAUAUCUUAUAGAUAAAUGGCUAAAUGAAUAACACUAGAAUCUGCAACCACAGAAAAUAGGUUAGUCCAGUAUGCAAUAAAGCCAUCCAUAAGACAUCAAUAGUAGUUAAUAAUAAUCAGUCAAAUCCAAAUCCCAGAUUUAGUCCACAUCCAGACACAAGUCAAGUCAAAACAAACCACAAACCAAACAAGCCAAAAGUUCGACAAAUUUAAGUUCAAAUUUAAGUUCAAAGUUUUUCAAGUCUCGCAACUCUCCCCCUUUUUGUCAGCAUAAAAAAAAUUGAGAUGAAAAUGAAGUCAAGGAUUUUUGGGAACACGAACAAGCUGGAAAUCUCCCAUUGACUGAACGAUGCCUUCCAGCCUUUUAAAGUCUUCCUUUAGCUGAGCAACAUCCUCACCCUUAGCAUUAGCCUGAAUCUAAAGAGAAAGGGCUUGGAUUUGAUCAUUUAAUGAACCCGAAGAGACUUGUCAUGCAUUCUGCAAGUUCUGAACUUCACAUCCCAAUGCAUAUAUCUGACAUUGCAUCUCCAAGAGAAUAUCCAUCACUCUGCGAAAGUCUGCUGAAUUUUCGGUCUGCGUACUGGCAUUAGCACGAUCUGAUGGAGUAAAUGCAGAUGAUGGUAGAUCAGCAUAAUCACGCAGAUUUGGAGAAGAAACCUCAUGACCUUCCUUAGGAAACUGAGAGGCAAAAACUUCCUCUGGAUCUGCUGGGGAUCGAUUGACUCCCUCACUGGUUGCAGGAUUUGAGGUCAUUCCUCUUUUCUCUUGGUCUCCCCCUGUGUCCAUGCCUUCAGGUGGAGAGUGCUCCUCAUGUUCUCCUUCUUCUUGAUCUCUUUUAUCUUCUUCUUAUUUUUCAACUCUCUCUUGCUCAGCAUCUCUUUCUUCUUCUUCUCCUCUUUCCUCUGUUUCUUUUUCCUCUGCUUCUUUCUCUGCUCUUUCUUCUGUCUGCUGUUUUGACUCUUUCUUUGGAACAGAUCGACUGAGAUUCUUCAAAGCAAAAAUAGUGAUGUUUUCCUCAUCAUCUUCAUCCUCAACGAGGAGAGCUCUUCUUCUCUUAGAUGGAGCAUCCAUGGGUUCCUUCCCUUUCCUUUUUCUUGCAGAAGAGAAUUGAUGAGAUUUGACUGGAGUCUUCUCCUUAAAUUUCUCCAAUGCCUUACUUAGUUCCUUCAGACGCAUCUUGGUCACCAUUUUCAGUCCUACCACCAUAUGAUCGCACGAUCGAGCACAAAGAAUUUGCGGAGGCUGAAUGUUCAGAUGUCUGAAUAACUUCGUCACAAGACCUGGAUAAGGAAGUUGUCCUCUGUCCUUCAUCAUAGCUCUAUACAUGUGGAACAUAAUAGUGUGAGGAAGAGAAAACAUUUUCCCAGUGAUGAUAGCAUACAUUAGCUUUGCCUCUGAACUUGAGACAUCAGUCUUGGAAGUUGAUUUCGGUCUGAGGCAAUUUAUUACAAUUUUGUGCAGCAAGAUGUUAAAUGCACUCAUUCUUGAAUAGGAAAUCUUUCCCUCUGUUCUCCUGUCCUUAACCAGUUCCAGAGUAGUACGAGCAAUAGAAACUUUGAUCCGUUGAUAUCUUCCUCUCUCAACUCCUAACACAUCUACCAGCAUAUCCAUAUCCACAACAAAGUCUUGAUCUUUGACACUGAAGGAGAAUCUAUUCGCAUCCAAGAAACUAAGAUUUGAAUAGAAAUAUGCAGUUAGUUGAGGAUAGGCCUCUGUGGAGUCAGAGCAGAAUUUCUCAAGUUGAAGAUGACCUAAUUUUUCCCUCAAGUUCACAUUUACAGCAUCCAGAAAGUCAAAAUCCACACUCCUAGGGUUUAUCACCUCACGCUUCAGCAAUUUUGAGUAUAGAUCCAUCUGUUCCUUCGAUCUAAACAAAUCUCCCAUUUUUCCUUGAUUUUCCGCUGCAAUUCCCAUUCUUGGCUGAAAUUCGCUGUAUAAUUUGUCAUCAUCAUUUCCAUCCACUGGAUUAACUCCCCAAUCACGAGGGUCACUUGGGAUAUUCGCAAGGGAUUCUUCUGCCACACCUUUACGAGCAAUUCCCAAACUUUCCAUUUUAUGCAAAAAGAUAUAUUCAUUUCCAUAUCCUUUGUCCUUAAGAAAAUCAUCCACAUAGUUCAAUGGAGUACCAGUCCCUUUUAAAGCACGAUACAUCUUAUAAAUAAAAGAGGGCCUUUAAACUCUUACAGGGUCUGCAUCCUCAAUGAUUUCUUCAUUUUGAUGAUGAUCAACAUCUUGAGGACUAGAUGGAGGAGAAUGACGCUGCUGAGAAUGUUGUGGGCUCUGCUGCUGAUUUGGAGACACUUCUUCUUCAGUGAGAUCGAAGUGCGUAGGCCCCUCACUCAUUCGCCGUGGUCCCCUGCUUGCGAUCCUUGAUGACUUUCUUGAAAACGACAUCUUUCUUAGUCUUUGAGAGAUUCCUUGCUUGACUUUCCCAAGAAAGAUGACAACUUUUUCGAAGAUUAAACAAGAGAAGAAAACAGGAAUGGAAGAUUGGUGCUUUUUAGGGUUUUGGAGUUAAGCGAGGAGAAAACGACUAUAUAUAAGACAGUCGUAAGGAGAGGAUACCAAUCGUCGUAAUGGUAAGUGAAAAGAUGCCUUUUUAAAAAAAAUAACUGCCUUUUUCAAAAAAUGGUCACAUCAAAAUAACUUCUUUUUAUAAAAGAAAUGAUGCAAUAAUUUCGUCAAUUAAAGAUAGCGAUUGAGAUAACAUACCCUUUUUCAUUUUGAACCUUUUUAGCAAACUUUUCAAAGUAAGAGAAGGUUUCAGACUUACUUGCCAAGAAAUAUACCCAAGUGAAUCGUGAGUAAUCAUCCACAAUUACCAGGCAGUAUUUCUUACCUCCAAUGCUUUGCGUUCUGGUUGGUCUAAAAAGAUCCAUAUGCAGAAGCUGCAAUAUACGGUUAGUGGAAACUUGAUUUAUUGGCUUAAAGAAAUUUCUUACCUGUUUUCCCAAUAUACAUGGUGUACAUAGAUCAGACUUUUGAUACGAUAAAUUAGGUAGACCACGAACAAGCUUCUUUGCUGAGAUUUUGGCUAUUUGCUUCAUAUUGACGUGCCCAAGCUUUCUGUGCCAUAAGUUUGCUUCGUCUUGGAUUGAGAUUAGACAUUGUGAUUCAUCUGGUUUCACAUCCAAGAGGUAGAUAUUUCCAUGUCUUCGACCCAUGAAUGACUGAGUAGAAUCUUUACUAAUUCCAGAACAUAUUCCCUCUUGAAAGUUGAUUUUGAAACCAAUAUCACAUAGCUAACUAAUACUGAGCAAAUUGUAAUUGAGCCCUUCCACUAAGGAAACAUUGCUGAUUUUGAGAUUUCCAAUCUUUACAGUUCCAAAUCCCACAAUUUUUCCUUUGCUGUUUCCUCCAAAAGAAACUUUUCCACCAAUUACUCGAACAAGCUUUAUGAAGAAAUUUGAGUCUCCUGUCAUGUGUCUUGAGCAUCCACUAUCCAGAUACCACUUUACCUUUUUUCUUGAUAGUGGCCUGCAUUUAAAAAAGAAACUCAAGCCUUCUUUGGAACCCAUAUUUUCUUGGGUCCAUUGGUGUUAGUAUGAUAUGCGGUUUUUGCCUAUACAUUUUUAACAGGUUUCCAAAUCAUAGGACAUUCUUUUUCAAAAUGAUCUGCACUAUUGCACUUUGAGCAUCUGAGAGCAUUGCGACCUACUGGUUUUACAAAGAUUCUUUUAAAAUGAUUUUUGUAAGCAUCUCUUGUGGGUCUUUGUUUGAUUCUUUCCUUCACCUUAGGAAAAUCAAUUAAAGGAAUGGUUUCAUCAGUCAUUCCCAAACCAGAUUUAUUAAAAUAAGGUCUUUGAACAGAAAGAAUUUUUUCUAGUUUCUCAGAUCCUAUAGAAAAUCUUUUGGAAAUAUUUGAGAUAUCUCUUUUCAAGAAUGCAUUUUCUUUUAACAAAUUAUCUUCACUUUCUUUAAGAGAAGAAACAUUCUUGUCUAAACUUUUCACUUUUUCUUUCAAAAUAUUUUCCUGUUGUUUUAGAGCAGAAUUUUCUUUCUUGAGUUCGGAAAUCCUUUUAAGAGAAGUCUUAAGACUGAAACACAAUUCAUCAAUAUACUUUGAAACCUUAAUAGGGAUUUUGAAGUUACUUACCUCAAAUUCGCUUUCUGAGUCUGAAUCUGUCUCGGAAUUUGAAUCUGAAUCCGAUUAUGCCAUCAGACAUAUAUUGGCAUAAUCAUCAUCACUUUCUUCACACUCUGUAUCACUCCAUGUUUUAGCUUUAAGAGUUUUUCGGUACUUUUCAGUUUUUCCUUUCUUCUUCCUCAGAAGAGGACAGUUGGGUCUGAUGUGUCCCUUUUUCUUACAUUCAAAGCAUACUACAUCUUUGUUUGAUUCAUCAUCUUCAACAGACUUAGUCUGUUGCUUUUGAAAACUUUGUUUCUUUGGAUUGAAUCUUCUUCAUUUUCUGUUCAGCUUUCUGAAUCUUCUUAUCAUGAGAGCAAGUUCCUCAUCAUCCAUAUCGUUUUCAGAAUCUGUAACAUCAGAAUCAUCAUUAGAUUUUAAUGCAAUGGAUUUCUUACCUUUAGGGUCUUCGUCUUCAUUGAUUCGUUCCACUUCAUAAGACUGAAGAGUCCCAACCAACUCAUCAACAGAUAGAGGCAUGAUUCUUUGGGUCUCUCUGAUUGAGGUCUUUAUGUGAUUCCAAUCAUUGGAAAGUCCACACAGUAGCUUGUUUACUUUCAUGGGAUCAGAAAUUGGUUGACCUUGAUUUUCAAGACCAUUCACAAUUUCAGUAAAGCGACUGAACAUAUCCGUUAUAGAUUCUCCUGGUUUCAUUUUGAAGGCUUCAUAUUGACCGAGGAGAAUGUUGAUUCUGGUCUCUUUCACUCGAUCGCUUCCUUCAUAGGUAAUAUGUAAUCUAUCCCAUACUUCUUUAGCUGUAACAUAAGAAGAUAUUCUAUUAUAUUCAGUAGGGGAUAAAACACAAUAUAAAAAAUAAAUUGCUUUUACAUCAAGAGCUUGUCUCUUGAUUUUCUCUUCCUGAGUCAUUUUGCUAGACUCAACAGCAUCUUUUCCUCUUUCUGAGACAGAUGCAGCUUUAGGAAUGAUUCCUUUUUCUGCAACGUCCCAUUCCAAAGGAUCCUUUGAUCUUAGGAAUGCUUUCAUCUUGUUUUUCCAUAUGUUGUAAUCCUUUCCAUCAAAGUAAGGUAGUCUAGUAUUGCUUUGCCCUUCUACCAACCCUGGAGCCAACAUACUAGCCAUGGAUCUUUAACUCUGAAGUAAAACACUUCAAACAAAGUGAGUACACAGGCUCUGAUACCAAUUAAGAUAGCUAGUAUAAUCACCUAGAGGGGGUGAAUAGGUGCACAAACAAAUUUUCGAGAUACGGAAGCGAUUUUAGGGAAUCGAUAGAAAAGAAAAUACGAUCAAAGUAAAGUAAAGGUUAGGGAAGAGAGAAAUGAACACAAGAUUUAUAGUGGUUUGGCUUAUUCCAAGCCUACGUCUACUCUUCCGCAUUGACAGCCCAGCGGCUGGAUUUCACUAUGAACAAAAGAGAAGUUACAGCACAGCUUUUCCUUGAUUCCACAGUGUAAAUGUUCUACCACACUUUCUCAAGGUUUCUCACGAAUAUAGACUCUUUUUUGUUUACACGAUUUUGCUCAUCAAAUGAAUUGACUAGGAACAAGGAGCUUCAGACUUUGGAAUUCUUCUAUCGUGCACACUUUCGAACAACUAGAACGUCUUCCUUAUAUACUCCUUCAUGCCAUCAUACCCGUUGGCACUUACCAAAAGAAUUCCUCCAAUCUACCCGUUGGACGGAAUCAAUUAGGAAGAUCAUUCGAGCUAUUAAAGGAACAUGUCGAUAGCCCAUUAAUCCUGUUCGCCCAUACAAUUAGGAUCUCGGUUUCCAUAAGUAGAACCUUCCAAGUAUACUUCGCCAAUCAUCGGAUCCUUAAUCUUCGAAUCAAUUAUGAUCAAAUAAAGAAUUCCGUUAUGUUAUAUCCAGCAAAGAGAUCUUCUCCAGUCGAUAAGGCCUCAUCCUUAAUGAAACAUCCAGUUCUGGAUAGCCUUUCUACAACAGAUUAGAAACUGUCAAUGAGGAUAGACUUUGAGUCUUGAGUCUGGCUGUCCGGAGGUCUUCAAACUUUAAAUAGCAGAGUUUGCAAGCCUUCAGACUAGACUGAUGGAAACGUUUUGUCAACUUCAAAACACUUCAAGAGGAAUUUCUCCAACAGUCUCAGCCCCAGCAACAAUGCGAGGUGUACAAACUUUGCGGGCCUUUUGGUGUUUGCAGCGAGGGUACUGACAAUUUCUGCAACUUCUUGCCAGGGUUUAGCAUAAGCUCUUUGAGUGAUUGGUCUGGCAGCUGCAAGAGGGAUUCGGACUUGAAUUGUGCGGCAAAUGCUUCAAAUGCGGAGAAAGACCAUUUCUUGCUAAGGUCGAAAAUGAAAUUGCCUGAUGAUCCCCAAUCUUUAGUUGUUAGGAGCAAUCAGGAAUGCUGAGCUGCUUGUUUGAGCAAUUGCUCUUGCACGGCUUAUGCUUUCAAGGAUAAUGCCUGCUCAAUUUGGAUUGGAGAUCUCUUCAAUGCACAACAACUCGCACAAGGCGAUACCACUGGAAGUAGCUCCUAUCUCGGGCUUGUUGCCUCCACUGUUGAGGAUCCAAGCAAGAAGAGCAAUGUGAGUGCCGUGGUUGCUGGGUCUGUUAGCACCACGAUAGCCAUAUUAGCCAUUGUCUUGUUCGGCAUUUGGAGAUGGAGGAGAAGGGCAAUUGUAACUACAAAGACAGUGGAGGGUUCACUGAUAGCUUUUGCAUACAGGGACUUGCCAGUAGCAACAAAGAAUUUCUCAGAGAAGUUGGGUGGCGGCAGGUUCGGUUCAGAUUUUAAAGGAACAUUCCCGAUUCAAUUCACAUAGUGGUCAAGAAGCUUGAAAGCAUAAGCCAAGGAGAGAAGAAAUUCCAAACAGAAGUAAUCACAAUCGGCACCAUCCAGCAUGUGAAUCUUGUAAGAAUUAUUGUGACCCACAUGAUAUGAUUUAUUAUAUGGUUUAAUAAUUAUUGAAAUGCUAUAAAAUAAAUAAUUAUUGGUUACGAGAAGUUGCGACUUUAAUAAACGAAAUUGUAUAUUGCUUUGAUGGAAGGCACAUUUUCAAUGAACGUAUAUAUAGAGUCCGGUCCUCUCUCCACUCACAAUAAACAACAAUAACUGAAAAGGAAUUUGGUAUUCUCUCCUCCAUCGAUUGAAUACAUUAAGGAAUAGUGGGUUAAGGGAGAGAAAUUGGAUUUCUUCAUUUGGUUCGAGUUCUUUGGAUUUACUACAAUGAUCAUCAUCAAGCAUAGCGCUAUGGAUAAAGGUAUGUCUUCAUCUAAUUGUGAAAAUCAUGAAGAUCAAAAGAUCAUUGUUUAUUUUGAAUUUCCGCAUCAAGUAUUAUAUGAAUUAUCUAACAGUUGGUAUCAGAGAGUUUGGUUUAUGAUAUCAUGAUUUUUCCGUUUAAAGAAAUAUUAUAGUUUAUGUUUGAUGAUUCGUUGAACGAUCCUGUUCGUAUUGUUUAUUGUUGUUAAAAUGUUUUCAGAUGAUUAUGGAUAAAGAAAAUCCGAAUGAUGGAAUGUUCUUCAUGGACGAAAAUGGCAAAUAAAAGUUACUGUGCGCGAGUGGAAAAGGACGAAAAUGGAAAAAUUCGGAAUUUUGAGGGCAAGUAAGAAACUCGCCGAUUUCGGGGAAAAUCCAGUCACCCACCGCUUGAUUUCGGACUCACACCGUCGCACUACCAUGAGGAACAUUAGCCAUGAGUUUUUCCAGUAUAUCGGUGUUCGCCGGAGGCUAAUCGAGUGGCGGAAGCCGUGUUGGUGGACUUUUUGUGUUCUGAAAAUUUUGGUUUGUUUUGGGGCCAAUUUUUUGUCAUUUUCUCCGAAACUUGGACCCAUGUGGUCAUGCCGGCAUGCUCUUCAAAACCCAUUAUUUAUUUGUGUCUGGGAUGGGCUACCGAAGAAGAAACGGCCGGCGAAACCGCGGCGGAACGGCGAAAAACGGCGAAGAAUCGUGUCUGUGCACGAGGAAGAGGGCGUGUGGGCUCCACGCGCGCGCUGCGGUUGUAGGCGCGUGGGACCCACGCGUCACGCGCCGUCACGUGCGCGCAAGCGCUGCGCGCGUGGGAUCCACGCGCGCGGGGCUUCCCGUGCGGUUGCAGGCGCGUGCAACGCAAGCGCCUACGCAUUGGGCACGCGCGUGCCCCGCACGCGCCCGCGGCGGAUGAAGGCGCAUGCUCGGUAUGCGCCUGACGUCCCCGCGCGCCCUUUUUACGUUUUUGCCCCUAUGUCAUUUUUAAAAUUUCCAUUUUGUCCUUCUUGCAAUUUAUUUACUGUUCUGCCCUUGCUUAAUUUAUAAUUACGAUUCUUCCAUUGCUGAUUAUUUACCAUUUUGCCCCUGGAUUAUAAUUUUAUGAUUUUGCCCUUAUGGAAUUAUGAUUUUACAAUUUUACCCUUAUGCUUUAAUUACUGUUUUGUCCUUAUGUGCAAUUUGGUAAAUAUUUGUAUUUUACAAUAUUAAAAAUCCAUAUUAUGAAUGGUUUAUUAGUCACCAAAGUGGCCGAACCUUGAAGUCUUUUGAUAUUUUGAUAUUGUAAAUUAUUUUAUUCAAUUACCCAUGAUUAAUUGAUGCUAUAUAUGAAAUUGAUAUGUUUUAUAUUAUUAUUAUUGGAGUUAUGGGUAUAUUGAAGUUCAUUUAUUAUAAGAAUUUAGUGAUUAACCCAAAGGUUAAUUAUUUUCUUAUAAUUCAUGAACAUGAUGGUUGAUAAUUAAUGUGACUUGUUAAAUUUGUUUAUAUAUCCAAAGAUAACAAAUAAAUUUUAAUAAGAUAUAUUUACAAUUAUCAAAUAAAAGUUAUUAGCAUCAUUAUGGUAUAUAUAUCCUUGUUUAUCAUAGGAUCGGCCAAAGGAGAACUAUGAUGUACAUGUGUCGUUUAGUUUGAAUUUGAUUAUGUGAUAUUCUCAAAGCAUUAAUGUAUGAGUAUUUUCUUGCACAUUUGCAGUAUCUGUACCUAUUUCACUCCAUUCGCACGCCUCAUCUGUUCCUUUAUUCAAUGGGAUAAAUUUUCCUAAUUGGAGUGAACAAGUCUAGUUUCACUUAGGUGUCCUGGAUCUUGAUUUAGCACUUCAAGCUGAGAAACCAGCUGCUAUUACUGAUGAAAGUAGCAAUGAUAAAAAGUCUUUCCAUAAAGCUUGGGAAAGAUCGAACAGACUGAACUUAAUGUUCAUGCGAAUGACAGUUGCUAACAACUUAAAGACUUCUCUUCCCAAGACUAACAAUGCUAAGGAAUUCAUGAAGUUUGUGGAAGAGCGUUCUCAAACUGCUGAUAAGUCACUUGCUGGUACAUUGAUGAGCACACUAACCACCAUGAAAUAUGAUGGUUCGCGUACCAUGCAUGAGCAUAUACUUGAGAUGACGAAUUUAGCAGCAAAGUUAAAGACUUUGGGAAUGAACGUGGAUUAGUACUUUUUAGUACAAUUUAUACUUAAUUCCUUGCCUCAUGAGCAAUAUGGGCCAUUUCAAAUGAAUUACAACACUAUAAAGGAUAAGUGGAAUGUAAAUGAAUUGGCCAGUAUGUUAGUUCAAGAGGAAACAAGGAUAAAAAAUCAAAAGGCUCAUUCUAUUCAUCUCUCAAGUCAUCAAGAAGUUCGAAAGAAUUUCAAGAGGAAAGGUGGAAGGAGCAAGAAGAAAGGACUACACGUCCUGAAUGACUCUUUAAAGGCUUCUCAAAUCCACAAGAAGGAACACAAUCUUAUUAAGUGUCAUUUUUGCAACAAAAUUGGACACUUGAAGAAAGAUUGUCUGAAAUGUAAGGCUUGGUUCGAAAAGAAAGGUAAGCCUUGUGCUUUAGUAUGUUUUGAAUCAAACUUUACUGAAGUUCCUCAUAAUACUUGGUGGAUUAAUUCUGGUGCCAGCACUCAUGUGUCAAAUACAAUGUAGGGAUUUCUUACGAUCCAAACUAUAAAGCCAAAUGAAAGUUAUGUGAUUACGGGGAACAGAAACAAAGCUCCAGUUGAAGGCAUUGGCACUUAUCGUUUGAUCUUAGAUACUAGGCAUUAUUUAGAUUUGUUUCGAACCCUUUAUGUACCUACAUUUUCUCGCAAUUUAGUUUCUUUGCCAAGACUUGAUGUGGCGGGAUUUUAUUGUAAGUUUGGAUAUGAAUGUGGCGGGAUUUUAUUGUAAGUUUGGAUAUGAAUCUUUCAGUCUAUUUAAGAGUGAUAAUCAUAUUGGAACUAGAACUUUAUGUGAUGGUCUCUACAAAUUUAGACUUGAUAAUACUUUUGUUGAGAUAUUAAUGACCUUGCAUCAUAAUGUUGGCACUAAACGAAGUUUGGUGAAUGAAAAUUCUGCUUACUUGUGGCAUAAACGUUUGGGUCAUAUAUCCAAAGAAAGGAUGCAAAGAUUAGUGAAGAAUGAAAUUCUUCCAAAUUUGGAUUUUACUGACCUUGGAGUGUGUACUGAUUGUAUUAAAGGUAAACAAACAAAACAUACUAAGAAAGGUGCCACAAGAAGCAUAGAGCUUCUUGAAAUUAUACAUACUAACAUAUGUGGUCCUUUUGAUGUUCCAUCUUUUGGUAAGGAAAGCUAUUUCAUAACCUUUAUUGAUGAUUUUUCACGUUAUGAUUACAUUUGUCUAUUGCAUGAUAAGUCUCAAUCAGUGAAUGCACUUGAAGUGUAUAUUAAAGAGGUUGAGAGGCAAUUAGAUAGAAAUGUGAAAAUAGUAAGAUCGGAUAGAGGCGGUUAAUAUUAUGGAAAGUAUGAUGAAUCGGGACAAUGUCCAGGUCCAUUUGCUAAAUUCCUUGAAAGACAUGGCAUUUUUGCUCAAUACACAAUGCCAGGUACACCACAACAAAAUUGUGUAGCAGAAAGGCGUAACAGUACUUUAAUGGAAAUGGUUAGGAGUAUGAUGAGUCAUUCAUCUUUACCCUUGUCUUUGUGGAGGUAUGCUUUAAAGACUUCUAUGUACUUAUUAAAUAGGGUUCCCAGUAAAGCAGUUCCAAAGACUCCAUUUGAACUGUGGACGGGAAGGAAACCUAAUUUACGACACCUGCAUGUUUGGGGUUGUCAAGCAGAAGUAAGAAUUUAUAAUCCACAUGAAAGAAAAUUGGAUUCAAGAACGACCAGUGGUUAUUUCAUUGGUUAUGCAGAGAAAUUCAAAGGGUAUAAAUUUUAUUAUCUAAAUCGUAGUACAAGAAUUGUUGAAUCUGGAAAUGUUAGGUUCAUUGAGAAUAGUGACAUCAAUGGGAGUGAAAGAAUGCGUGAUGCUUGCAUUCAAGAAGUAAGGGUAGAAGUUCAUAUGCCUAAAGCUUAUAAAGUUGUUGUUCCUGAUAUUGUAGUACAAUCUAACAAUAAUCAAGAACAACAAAUUAAUGAACAAACACUCGAUAAUGGAGAUGUCAAUAAUGAACCUCCAAUAGCCGAGUCACAAGAAAUAGCAUUAAGGAGAUCUCAAAGAGAAAGGAGGUCAGCUAUUUCUGAUGACUAUAUGGUUUAUCUACAAGAGUCAGAAAUUGACUUAGGAAUUGGAAAUGAUCCAGAUUCAUUUUCCCAAGCCAUGGAAUGUGAAGAUUCUAAUGAAUGGUUUAAUGCCAUGGAAGAAGAGUUAAAAUCCAUGCAUCAAAAUCAAGUUUGGGAUAUUGUUGAAUUGCCUAAAGGAUGUAAGAAGGUCGGGUGUAAAUGGGUUUUUAAGACCAAGCGCGACUCAAAAGGCAAUAUUGAACGACAUAAAGCUAGACUUGUUGCAAAGGGUUUUACUCAGAAAGAAGGCAUUGACUAUAAAGAGACAUUUUCACCAGUCUCUAAGAAGGACUCACUUAGAAUUAUUAUGGCUUUGGUAGCUCAUUAUGACUUGGAGUUACACAAAAUGGAUGUAAAAACCGUCUUUCUUAAUGGGAAUUUAGAAGAAGAGAUUUAUAUGGACCAACCCAAAGGCUUUUCAGUUAAAGGAAAGGAACACAUGGUAUGUAAAUUAAAGAAGUCAAUAUAUGGACUUAAACAAGCUUCCCAACAAUGGUAUCUUAAGUUUAAUGAUACCAUAACUUCAUUUGGAUUUAAGGAAAACACCGUUGAUCGGUGUAUAUAUAUGAAGAUUAGUGGGAGCAAGUUUAUUUUUCUAGUUCUGUAUGUUGAUGAUAAUUUUGCUUGCUGCUAAUGAUCUUGGUUUGUUACACGAAACCAAGAAAUUUCUCUCUAAAAAUUUUGAAAUGAAGGAUAUGGGAAAGGCAACAUAUGUGAUAGGAAUAGAAAUAUUCCGUGAUAGAUCACGAGGAUUAUUAGGAUUGUCUCAGAAAGCCUACAUUGAGAAAAUUCUAGAGAGAUUUAAUAUGAGUAAAUGUUCAGCAGGAAUAGUUCCAAUUCAGAAAGGUGAUAAAUUUAGCCUUAUGCAAUGUCCGAAAAGUGAAUUGGAAUGAGAACAAAUUAAUAAUAUUCCUUAUGCAUCUGUUGUGGGGAGCUUAAUGUAUGCACAAACUUGCACCAGACCAGACAUCAGUUUUGCUGUCGGAAUGCUGGGCAGGUAUCAAAGUAAUCCUGGAAUGAAUCAUUGGAAAGCUGCAAAGAAAGUUCUUAGAUACUUGCAAGGAACGGAGAAUCAUAUGCUCACUUAUAAAAGAUCUGAUCAUCUCGAGGUGAUUGGAUAUUCAUAUUCAGAUUUAGUCGAAUGUGUCGAUACAAGAAAAUCAACAUUUGGUUACUUGUUUCUUCUAGCUGGAGGGGCAAUUUCAUGGAAGAGUGCGAAGCAGUCAGUUAUUGCUACAUCCACUAUGGAAGCUGAAUUUGUGGCAUGUUUUGAGGCCACAAUUCAUGGAUUAUGGCUGCAGAAUUUUAUUUAAGGGCUUGUGAUUGUUGACAGUAUUGCCAAGCCGCUGAAAAUUUAUUGUGAUAACUCUGCAGCAGUUUUCUUCUCUAAGAAUGAUAAGUAUUCUAAUGGUGCUAAGCAUAUGGAGAUCAAAUACUUGUCUAUCAAAGAAGAAGUUCAGAAACAAAGAGUGUCAAUUGAGCACAUUAGCACUAAUCUUAUGAUAGCAAAUCCCUUAACAAAAGGACUGCCGCCCAAAACAUUUAAUGAGCAUGUUGAAAAGAUGGGCGUUAUUGGACGUCAUUAAUGUUUGUAUUAUGAUUGAAUUGAGUUUAUGUAUUUGACACUUUGAGCUCACUUACGUGUUUCUGAUAUUUCCUGUUUUUUAUUUAGUAUACAAUAUGGAAAUAGAUGAAUGUUAAACAGGAUAGUUUCUAAAGAAACAUUAUGGUUGGACUAUUACUGUACUUCUCAUUUAUGGAUCAUGUUAAGUAAAGUGCUAUAGUUGUAGUACAUAGAAGGGACUAUGUCGAUUAAUGACAUACAACCGCUAUGACUCGCAUUAGUUUUCUUUACUUAAUUCUGAUUAUUAUGUGAUUGCCAAUUUAAUGAAAUUUUAUAGCAUAAUCUUAUUGUGCACAUUAUAGUCUUUAUUAAACCAUGAAAGGAGAAUCAUAUGGGCCAAGUGGGAGAAUGUAAGAAUUAUUGUGACCCACAUGAUAUGAUUUAUUAUAUGGUUUAAUAAUUAUUGAAAUGCUAUAAAAUAAAUAAUUAUUGGUUACGAGAAGUUGCGACUUUAAUAAACGAAAGGGUAUAUUGCUUUGAUGGAAGGCACCUUUUCAAUGAACGUAUAAAUAGAGUCCGGUCCUCUCUCAACCCACAAUGAACAACAAUAAUUGAAAAGGAACUUUGUCACGCCCCGACCCUCAGGCACGCACACAUCCCUUACUUUUGGUCGAUUUAAAAAUGCGAUAUCCCAGGACUAUGUAUCGCCGACCCUUUCAUUUAUAUAUGCACAUGCGGAAGCAGUUAUAAUUCCCUAGACAAUAAAGCAAUGGGAUAGAAAAGCAGGCCAUACAUUUUUCAUACUAAAAGUUCACAACUACAACUUUUUACAUGCAAACAAGGUCUGACAAUACUGGACGGGAUCUUAGUCCUCAUCCGGGUCGUACUCGGGGUCCUCCUCCACGUACUCCUCUUCGGGUUCCUCAUCAGGGACCUCCUCAUCAGAUUCAUGCUCCUUAGGCUCCUCAUCCAGGUCCUGAAAUGGUUAUUCAAUAACCACUGAGACCACGUCUCAGCAAGUUCUACUCCCUAAGACCCGAUUAGUAAACUAAUACACCUUAGGGCUGCCUACGCACAACAUGAGUCAGAGGACGUACCUUAGCCUCAGAUUCCACCUGCAUAUUAGUACAGAUUAAAUAGGCACACAAGCAAGCACAUCACAGAUCGAAGCAUCGAUCUAAUCGACUUAGUCGAUUUCACAUCAGGAAGACCACUCACGAUCAUCUCCCUUCAAUCAUUCAAUUCAACACAUCGAACCAAGGCAAUGAAUCAUAUCAAGACAUUCUCAGAUCGAAUCAUCGAUCAAUUGACCUAGUCAAAUCAUUUCUAGGUCAUUCAUCCAACACCAAGCAAUUCCUUAGAUUUAGUGGCUUUACGGUCCCACCCGACCCUCUCGAGAACUAGUGGCUUUACGGUCCCACCCGACCCUCUCGAGAACUAGUGGCUUUACGGUCCCACCCGACCCUCUCGAGAACUAGUGGCUUUACGGUCCCACCCGACCCUCUCGAGAACUAGUGGCUUUUCGGUCCCACCCGACCCUCUCAAGAACUAGUGGCUUUACGGUCCCACCCGACCCUCUCGAGAACUAGUGGCUUUUCGGUCCCACCCGACCCUCUCAAGAUGUCAUACUAUGUCACCGAGCCACGUGCAUUCUCCAGGAAGACAUACCGAGUCUCCGAGCCACGUGCAUUCUCUAAGGCUAUCUUUUCGCCAAGAUGACAUAUCAAAUCACCGAGCCACGUGUCCUUCCCAAGUGAUAUUCCAAUUCACUGGGCCACGUGCAUCCUCAAGGUGAUUUACCAACUCACUUUCGAUACUAACAACCGAUAUCCGACCAAUUCUCAAUCACAAGGCCAAAAUUGCAUUAUUGAAUAACAUACUUAAAAAUGCACCAUUAAAUCAAUUCGACACGAAUUAAAGCUCAAAUAAGUAAACGGACUGCUCCACGACAAUCAGCACGAAAUUCCGGUCACUGGCCAUCCCAGUUGAAUUUCCGGAAAAUAAAUAAUUAAACAAUUAAUUUCGAAAAUUAAAUAAAUAAAUACAAUAAAUUCAAUUUAGCACAAUAUAAAGCUCAAUUAAAUAAACGGACUGCGCCACGAUCAUCAGCAUAAAAUCCUGGUCACUGGCCAUCCCAGUUGAAUUUCCGGGAAAUAAAUAAUUAAAUAAUUAAUUUCGAAAAUUAAUAUUUAAUUCCUAAAAAUACGACAUAAGCCCAAAUCGCUUAAUUAACACCCGAUAAGGGACGGGAAAAAUCCCAAGAAGCAUCCAAUAAAUACUACAAGCAAUUCUCUAUCUAAUUACACUAAUCACACAACUAAUAUGCAAACCAAUUAACUAAUAAUCACUAAUCAAUUCUAAUCUAACAACCUAAUUACACUUAAUUAACACUAAUCAACCUUUAAGUAUAAUUAGCGCACUAAGAAGGCAUUAGUGAGUAAAACUCACUCAAAACGACGGGCUCGACGCGAGGAUCGACUUUCCUCAAAGCGGGCCGAGCAUCCGGGCUCGGGAAGGCGGCCAAAACGGGCCAAACAGUUGCUGCAAACCCAUUUCUGCAGUCCUCUGAUCGCUGCUGGUUGGAGGCGAAGGUGGGCGGAUCCGAGGCUGGUUGAGCUCGGGAAUGGGCGGAGGAGCUGAACAAGACCAAGGCGAGUCUUCACGGUGGCCGGAGGUGGUCGGAGGAAGCUCCGGCGGGUCUUGCACGAGCUGGACAGAGGCGGAACAGGGGUUGGACAGCAGCUCUGGAACAGCGAGCUGGGCGAGAGGGAGACCGAGCUGAGCGAUGCAGCGGCGGAGCGCACGGCGUCGCGCGGGCGGCGGUGCGGCAGCUCCGGUCCAGCAACGCCAGCUGCUGCCUCAACUCCGGUGUCCUCCAAGAUCUGGAACCCCGAGCAGCAAACGGAGAGGAAGACAGAGGGUGGACGGCGUUCAAGCGGGCGGGCAGGAGACGGACGGCAGCAGCGUUCCGGCACGACGGCGAAGGCAGCUCUGGCGUGACGGUGAUGGCGGCUCCUGCUUCGAACAACAUAGCUACUGUCCCUGCUUCUGCUUCGUUCGAACCAGAGGAGGGAGAGGGGGCGGAGAUGUGCAGACAGCAGCACGGCAGCGGGCUUGGGUGCACGGGAGCAGCUCCGGUGGCUUGCGGGCGUGCGACGGCGGCGGCGAGAGGCGGCGACGGGCGAAGCUGCUGUUGCUGCUUCGGCUGCUCUGGUCUUCGCACAGCCAUGGCACGAGCAGCAAGAAGGGGGAGAGAGGGUGUCGACGGAAGAGAGAAGAGAAGAAGAGAAAACCAAAUUUUCUUUCUCUUUCUCUCACUCUCUCUCUCUCUUAGGUCAGCCAUACGUGGGCCACCAUGGCUGUCAUCCACCCACAUUUCUAGCCCAAAACUACCCCUUCUAGAAGCAUUUAGGUAGGCCAAAGUUUGGGGUAGAGGUGGCAUACGAAUUUUGCCAAGUUCUCUUCCCAAUUGGACCUUAAUCCCUCUUGAUUCAAUUUAAAUUGACUCCUAUAAUUUCAUUUAACACCUCGUCAUUCCAAUUGGUAUUUUUCCUUACCAAUAUAGCCCACUUGCAUCCCAAUUCCACAAUCCUUAGCUUCAACUGAACCAAAGCGGCCCUAUUUAUCCAGUCGAAAUUAGGACCCGAAAAUCUGGAUGUCACAAACUUGGUAUUCUCUCUUCUAUCGAUUGAAUACAUUAAGGAAUAGUGGGUUAAGGGAGAGAAAUUGGAUUUCUUCAUUUGGUUCGAGUUCUUUGGAUUUGCUACAACAAUCAUCAUCAAGCAUAGCGUUAUGGAUAAAGGUAUGUCUUCAUCUAAUUGUGAAAAUCAUGAAGAUCAAAAGAUCACUGUUUAUUUUGAAUUUCCGCAUCAAGUAUUAUAUGAAUUGUCUAACAAAUCUUGUCAGGCUUCGUGGGUUCUGCUCUGAAGGUUACACAAGGCUGUUGGUCUACGAUUUCAUGCCAAAUGGUUCUUUAGACUAUCAUGUCUUUCAUAGAAAGGACUUGAAGACCUUGGAUUGGAAAACGAGGUACCAAAUUGCUUUGGGAACGGCUCGAGGUCUGGCUUAUCUCCAUGAAAAGUGCAGAGACUGCAUCAUACAUUGUGACAUCAAGCCAGAGAACAUCCUUCUAGAUGCUGAUGUAUGUCCAAAAGUGGCAGAUUUUGGCAUGGCAAAGCUUGUUGGCCGAGAUUUCAGCAGGGUGUUGACAACCAUGAGAGGCACAAGAGGGCAUCUUGCGCCGGAGUGGAUCUCUGGAGUGGCCAUAACAGUAAAAUCUGAUGUUUAUAGCUAUGGGAUGAUGCUUUUUGAGUUUGUGUUGGGAAGGAGGAAAUUAGAGCUAUCGGAAAAUGGGGCCAUCAAGUUCUUCCCAACAUGGGCUGCUAGUAAAUUAGCCGAAGGAGGUGACCUGCUUAAUCUUUUGGACCCAAACUUGACGGCAAAUGCCAAUACUGAAGAGCUAACUAGGAUUAGCAGAGUUGCUUGUCGGUGUGUCCAAGAUGGGGAAACUCACAGGCCAUCGAUGGGGCAGGUUGUUCAAAUACUCGAGGGGGUGUUGGAUGUGAUCCUGCCCAGGAUACCGAGUCCUUCAACUGUUUCUUAGUAAUCAGGAGCAUGUAGUUUUUUUCACUGAGUCGUCAUCGUCGAACCAGAGUUCCCAGAUGAGGAGUAACAACCUAAAAUGCUUCCUUGCAGAAGCAAAAUAGUUCAUCUUCAACAAAGUCCAAGUCUUGAGGAUGAUAAGAUAAGAGCUUAGUACAAGAAGUGCUUCCGUUAGUGCAUAUACUCUUCUACUUUUUCUGUAGUCAACAAAGAAUCUCAGCAUUUGGGGAUUGGCUUUCUUGGGGCUUUUUUCCCUAGCUAUUUUUGUUACGUAUAACUACAAGCGAGCUUGGAUGAUCGGUUGUAAAGAUCCUUCGCUCUGUAUAAUGAUCUGUUCUCUGCUUUUUGAGAUCCAAGGUGAUAUUGGUAAUUAGCAUCGAAAAAUUUCUGAUAAUUUUGGCACUGGAAUUGGGAUCUAACGUAUUGGUAUCACCUAGCUUGGAUCCCAGCUAGUGUCUCACAUGGUUCUAAAAUCUGCCCCCAUCGCAUGCAAAGCAAGCUGUAAGGUUUGGCAUUUCUAAUUUAUAACUCCUUUUGCUACUUGCUUGGUUUAUACAAUGAGUCAUGGUAUGAAAAUCACCCUUGAAACUACGGCUUGCUAGGACCGGAAUAUUAGAUCAUGAUAAUUUCCAACUGAUCUAUGUAUUACUAGCAGAUCCUAUUGUUGAAGCUGUAGGAUGUUAAUGCCCGCUCCAUUUUUCACAUAGCAUUUAUAUCUCUUCUAAGGUUGAGUUUUUUUAAUCACCUCAUUGCUUUAUGUUUCGAAUAUGAGUACUCGAACCUUUUAGCAAAACUGAUUUAUAACGUGUGGAUGAGACUUUUGUUGGGUGCUCUUACUCAAUUUAUAAGUUCUGUAAAACCAAAUUCAGUAUCUCAAUGUUAUUUGUUAAAAAUCUCUAUUGUUUGUUCUGGUGGGAAAUUGGUUGAGUUUCUCGUUUCAAUCGGGUUGAUCCAAACAGUAUUUUCCAUUGCAAGUGGGGAUUAAAUGCAAGUCCAAGUCCACUUUAAUUUAUCGUUGAAGAAGCCUGUUUUGGAAGGCCUAGCUUUUAUUUUUCAGUUCAUAAUCUAUUCAGAUCAAGGCUAAUCUUGUUCGGCCUUCACAAUACCAUAGUCCCCUCACUUUUGCCAAGCUUCCCCUCAUUUGUUUUUCCUUUUUGCCAUUACACCUUUUUCUUUUCCUUUCUCCUAUACACAAUUCUUUAAAUACUUUCAAUAUGAUGUGUUGUUUUUUUUUUUGGUAAGGGUCGAUAUGAUGUGUUGUUUCACUUUUCUUGUGGUAAUUAUUUUACUAUUAUCGUUGAUCCUUCUCUAGUGAGGAAAAAAAUACCAAAAAAGUCAUAAAUAUAUUACAUUAGUACCAAUUUAAUGUUAAAAUUUUUCACAUUAGUACUAAUUCGGUCCAUCUGGCCAAUUUUGGCUGGCCAGUGUUGAUGUGCACGUCAGCCAAAAUUGGGCUGAUGGACUGAAUUGGUACCAAUAUAAAAAAAUUUAGGAUUGAAUUGGUCUAAUUAAAAGAUUUAGAACUGAAUUGAUAUCAAUGCAAUAGGUUUAUGACUUUUUUUUAUACUUUUCCCUUCCAGAUGCUAGAGGUGCUAUUAUAAUAUCUUAACUUCCUUUAGCAAUAAAAAGACGUGUAAUCUGCUUAAAUCUUUAUUUAGUUGUGCUUCUACAAAAAUCAACCCUCUUUAUGAUCAUUUAUUUUAAAGUUAUAUCUCAAAUUUGAAUUCGUGAAAGAAAUCUAACUAGAGAUGAAUUGUAAGAAACUAGGUCAAUUAAGGAAAAUCCUAAAGGCGAAUAUUUCUGGACGUCGGUAAUGGAAAUCUAGAUUUCAUAUUUGGCGUCAGAGUCCAAAGUGCAAAUUUGGACAUUAAGUUGCUGAUUCGUUAACUCCAACAAAAGGCCAGAACUUGUAGAUUAUGAAAAUCAAUUUCCGCAUGGGAGUUGGUCAACACAACAACCGAACAAGAAAGAUCGGAGUUGGACUGGGUUUCUUCUUCAAUCGGUCAACUUGGCUAUUAUAUACGGAAUAACACCUUGAAAAAUCCAAAAUUGACAUAUUUAUAACAAAUUUACCAAAAUCUAAAUUUAUCCAAAUUUGUACACCUACGAUAAAUUCACCUUAAAUAAUUUUUUUAACUAUAAAAAAUCUCAAACUAGCACAUUUGUCACAAAUAGAGAGUAAAAUCCAAAAUUGAUACAACAUUAAUUGUCAAAUGUCAUUCAAUUCAACAAUUUGAUAAUAAAAUUUGAAGGAAAUUAAUGGACGGUAAAUUUGUUACAAGUAUAUCAAAGUUUUAGAUAAAUUUUAUUACCGGUUCAUGAUUUAUUAUGAAAUUACCAUAAAUAUAAAUAUACAAUUGUGGAUUGCUCAGUUGGUUAUGAAGAAAUAUUAAAGUGUAGUUCUUAGUGAAUGUCAAGGGAAGUUCUAUAUUUGUUAGUGACGGCCAAUUGGCACUGCAGGUUUGGUAGUGGGUUCUUCAUGGAAUAACAUUAAUAGCUUAUGUGUUGGACUCAAUUAAAUCUUGUGAGGAUUUAUUUAAUUCAUUUUUGAGAUUGAGAUAUUAUUUCGUGAAGAAUUGUAAGUUUAAAUACUACGUGAAUUAUUGAGUAUAAUUGGAUCUUGGAAAACAUAAGAAUGUUUGAGUAAUUUGAGUUUGGUUGUACUUUUCAUUGGAUUGCUCGAUCUAGAGUGAAUUCUUUGCUGCUCUCUCCAUUGACAUAUGUCACAUCAAUAGAAUCAUUUAAAUUUGGUGUCCAAUUUAUUUUCUUAUUUUGUCUAUUUCAUUGUUCGAUCAAUUAGAUUCCACAAUAAUUUAAAAGAUCAAGGCAUUGAUAAACGGUCUCUCUACUUUUGCUCAAUAAUCAAAGUCAUUCUUUUAAUAUCUUUUAAGAAAAAAAAUCACAAAAACUCCAUAUUUUGUCGAUUGUGAUAUGUUUACUCUAAACUAUUUUUGGUGACACCAAAAACUCUAAAUUUAUACUUGUAUGACACAUUUAUCCUAAUUUUUUUUCUAUAACACCAAAUUUUUUGGGGUUAAUAUGUCACAUCAUACAAAUUUGAAGUUUUAGGUGGCACAUUAUAUAAGUUUAGAGUAAAUAUGCAAUAUAAGUAUGAAUUUGAAGUUUUUGAUGUCAUAAAAUAAGUUUGGGAUAUAUAUAUAAUUUAGAGUUUUCGGUGAUUUUACAUUUCUUUGGAUUUGAAACCGUUCUUGCACUUAAGUGCCAUUGGUCGUCCCUGUGUUGGAACACUAUUAGCUAUCUUUUGACGUCAAAUUUUAUUUUAUUUGUUGAGGAUUUUUCUUUCUUUCUCCAAAUGUAGGCUGUCUCUCUCCUUUUUAGGUUAUUCAUUUUACGAAAACUAAAACCCACAAAAUAUAUUGCCUACACUAAUGCAAAAACACGAUUAUUUGUAUAGACUCAAGACAAGCAAUUGAGUAGCUAUGGGCCGUGAGCUCUGUGGCUCAUGACUUGAGCAAAUAUGACUGCUACAAGAUCAAAGCUCAUGCGGCAAUGCCAUGAGCUCAAAGAUUAAGUAGCCAUGGCUUAAGCUUUGUGACUCAAAUAGACAUCAUGGCCAUGGCCAUCUGCGAGCUUGAGCUUGAAUAGCCAUGGCCAAUGCUAACUUAGAGUUGGAGCUCAUGGUAAUAGUGGGGUCAUAAUGGAGCUCUCUCGUAAUUGUGCCCAUUUUUUUUAAUGUUUAUGUUGCCUAAUUUAGCACCUGUUUUUCCUAAAAUAAUUAUAUGAGCGGAGUACCACACAAUAGGUAUGCUGGCAUCUUGUUCAUAAAAAUUGAAUGGCAAAGUAUAACGGAAUGACUAGUGGUGAUACUUCAAGCCACAAAAAAAUCUUAAGCUUUAUCAACUGUGACACAUUUAUUUCAAUUUUUUUUUUUGUAACAUCAAAAAUCCCAAACUCGUACACGUGUAGUAAUACAUUUACCCAAAACUUUUUUUUUCGACACCAAAAAACCCAAACUUAUACUUUUGUAACAUCAAAACCCUAAACUUUUGUUUUGUAACACCAAAAACCCGAGAUUAAUAGUCAAGUCACACAUCUACCCCAAAAAUUUGGUGUCAUAGAAAAAAGUUUGAGGUAUUUGGUGUCACAAAAAGAAAAGUUUGAGGUUUUUUAUGUCACAAAAUAAAAGUAUGGAGUAAAUGUGUGACACUGCAAUAUUUUGAGAUAAAUGAGUCACAUAGGUAAAAGUUUGAAAUUUUUAAUAUUACAAAAAAAAAUAGUUUGGGGUAAAUAUUUCACAAUGGUCAUAAUUUAAGGUUUUUGGUGGCUUUUACCAUACUUUUAAAUAGUGGAGAGAUGCUUUAAAAAAAGUAGAGGGGAUUUUGAUUUUCAGGCUAAAAUAUAAGGGCCACCGGUAAAUCGAAUCCAUAAAGAAAGUGGCAUAUGUAUAGGAAUUGAUAAAAUAGUAAAAGAUUAUAAUGGACACAUCGCCAAGUACCAUCGCUCCAAGUCCAACCAGAGAGGCCUCUUCAUGCCAACACGUAUGGCCAUGACAAAGUCUAUAAGGUUUUUCUAGUAAAGGCACACAACCAUGAUGUUACAUAUAUAUAAAUUGGGGAAAAAAAAUCAAUGUGUCGCUCUAGAGUUUUCCCUCGACAAACAGGUCAGCUCAGCAUGUGUGGAACAAGCACAUUUUGUUGAAGAUAUUGGCCUCAAGUCUACCUUAGACAAUAGUAGGGACCAUAAGAAUAUUGGACAAUGCUACAUGAAAAUCAAACCUUGUCGGUCCAGCUUUUCAAAUAUAUGAAUGACUUUGACACUUGGAUUUGUUCCUUUGUUGUUGACUGAUGCUGGUAAAACUAUGUUUAAAGUCCUGCUUGAUCACUCAAAUGUUUGAUGUUGAGUUUGAGUGUUCUCAUUGCAUGUUAUUCCAAUUUAUGACGAGGACAUGUCCAAGUUGCACCACUAGCGUCUUCUUCACUCUGGGAUAUGCUCAUCCUUGUCCACUGGUAUGAUGCUUGCUUAAAUGCUUCUAUCUAGGUACUCCAUGACAAUGCGCUAGUCUCAGUUGAAGUUUCCCCACGGCACUUUGCGCGUUUCUUGACCCAUUCUUCUUUGAGAUCUCUUUCCUCACCCUUGCUCCGAGCACAAACGAGUAUAUAUACUUUUCCCUAUGAAUCUUGUUUCUACACAUGUCCGCUCGAAUCCUAUAUGGUACAGCCAUGGAUAGCAAAAACAGUAGUCCAUGGUCGUUCAUACUCCCAAUUUUCUUGCUUUGCUCAUCUCUGUACACCUACCUCUGUCUUGGCACAGACAAGCUCGAUGCGAAUCGAUCUAUAUCUGGUAAUCAAACCUUAACCUCCUCAGGUGGCCACUUUACACUUGGCUUCUUCUCGCCGGGUAACUCCACGUACUCCUACAUAGGCAUCUGGUACAACAAAAUCAGCGUGCAAACCGUCGUCUGGGUCGCCAACCGAGACAACCCUAUCACUGACAGGCAAUCCACUGAGCUGAAGGUCUCGGGUGGCAAUCUUGUGAUUCUUAACAACUCCGAAGUCCCCGUUUGGUCCACGAAUCUGACUGCUUCUUCAUCUGGAUCGAGCUCCAUGGUGGCGGUUCUUGAGGACGACGGCAACUUCGCUCUCAAAGCGGCUCCGACUUCUUCUGUGACUCUGUGGCAGAGCUUCGAUUACCCAACGCACAUGUGGCUUCCCGGUGCCAAAUUAGGGAUCGACAAGCGCAAAAAUAGGAGUCAGCUCUUGACAUCAUGGAAGAACGCUGAGGACCCUUCGACAGGUUUGUUCUCUCUCGGUCUCCAGCCAUCCAGUGAGUACUACGUAAGGUGGAAUAAGUCUGAGCAUUACUGGGAGCAGUGGGGCGUGGGACAAUCAGACGAAAAGUUCUCUUGGGUCCCUGAAAUGAGAUUGAACUAUAUUUAUGAUUUCAAGGUAUGUGGGACAAUGAGAACGAGAGCUACUUCACCUAUUCAAUCAAAGGCUCCUUCAACACCAUAUCAAGGUGUGUCGAUGGACCUUUCUGGGCAGGUCAAGAUGGGUCCUGGUUGCCUUCCAAGGUGUGGACCUUGUUCUGGUCUCAGCCCCCGCAACAAUGCAUGGUGUAUAGACUUUGUGGGCCUUUCAGUGUUUGCAGCGAGCAGAGUGAAGAUUCGUGCAGCUGC
rnacentral:lncRNA from 1 species